AACGAUGGCCUCGGCCGCGAUGGGCGCGGAGGGGGAGGUGUCGGCGGCGAGGUUGUUGGCGCCAAGGAGCUCGGCGAGCGUGGUGGUGGUGUUGAAGCGGGCGGCGAGCCCCGCGUAGGUGGUGGCGUUGGGCACCGCGUAGCCGAUGGCGGACUGGCAGGUGGCGCCUGGCGUGGCGCAGGUGAAGUUGGCGGCCGAGGCGGGCGCCGCGAAGAAGAGGAACAGCAGCGCGGCGGCCGGCACGGUCAGGCGGCCGGCGAGCGACGGCAUGGUGGCCGGGCUGGCCGCGGCGAGGAGAAAGGUUUGGAGGCUUUGGGAGGGGAGGUUUGACCGGAGUGUUGACGCGGGAGGCGGAUUGGAGGUUGCCCGGCAGCUCAAGUCAGGGGGUUAAGGCGGCUUAAAUGGUUGCGCUGUGGGCCCCUCUCCAUUUCUCCGUUUGAUUUCCCUCGAAGAAAAAAAUUUGGAUCGUACUGCAAAAUCCAUUGAAGUUUCAGCGAUCGGUCUCCAUCGUAGAAAUCUGCUCCAACAGGGAAAAUGUGAUGACUUUCCAACGGGCAAGAAAAAGGCCAAGGUGGACUGCCAGCUUCCGAGCUUGAAGAAAUGCAGGCAGCAAACUAGCAAAGCCUCGUUCCCGGGUUCCGACGGGCGUUGUCGACCGACGACCAAGACAGACUGGCUGGGGCCUGGCCUGGACGCGCAGGAAAAUGGCAAGUCGCCCACGACGCGAGGCCGACGUCUCCGCGCCGGACACCAGACGCGUGGGUACUCGAUGCCAUGGAAAGCGCUUUGUCCACUCCCAUCGGGACUAGGACAAACGAGGCGCGUGCAGGUUUAUGGACGAAUCUAAUCAACAUCAGGCUUAUAGCACUGGGAAAUAUACUCACGAGGCAUUUCAUUAUUUCACAUGAUUCGCCAAGCAAAAUUCCCUGAACCUAGAACGUGGAAGGGGAAUUAGGGAAAGCAUACAAAAGAAUGAAUGAACCAAUGGAGGCAGGGAAUGGGGUCGAUCAACUUCCUACAAAAAAAAUGUUCCCUUACAGGCAAAAUUUGGAGCCUAGAAAGAUAAAAUUCCUUUGCGCUGGCAAUCUAAUUCACUCCAGAGGGGAGGAAGGAGUCAUGCCAGGGGGAUCAUCGUUCAGUGGGGGUGCGGAGCUGAAGUCGAUGUUCGGGAAUACUCCGGGUGGCCUCUCAAGAGGUUGUAUGGACAAUAACUGUGUCGAGUCCCCGACGACAUCGGCCCAUCCAUAAUGAGGCUCGGCCCUGGCUCAAAAUGAGUGCAAGUCGAUGAGAUUCAUAUUCAACCAAUCAUUGGUCAAAUUGGUACCAAGGAGAUGUUUAAAAGCAUCAGCAGAACAAAUAUCUUACUCAUAGUAUGUCUCCUCAUCGACUACCAAAUCCCAGCUCUCGCCAGUUGUGCUCUUUCCAUACUUGUGGACUUUUCUGAAAUCCACGACAAAUAUGGUUUAGCAGUGAUCCACUGGUAGUGACAAUAUAGUCAACUUCAAAACAAUUUACUACUGGUAUUAACAUCCAAGAUAAUAAUCAUUUGUAUGGUGAUGCUAGGAAAAGUCUGCAGUCUAAAUACCAAUAAGAUGUUUCAAAGUCUACAGUCUAAAUGCAGUCCAAUUCCAGUCAAGUGUUAGACCAAAACAUUAUUAUAUCACUUACCCAUUACCAAAGUGUUCUUCUCCCCAAGUCCUUGACCAGCCUGAAAGUUUCAAUACCAAUGUAAGUAGCCAGUACAUAUUUUUCCAAGUAGAUUAUGACACUUUAUAUCCCAAUCAUAAAGUAGUGGUACCAGCACAAUCACAAGGAAAGAUAAAAAGGCUCGGAAAAAGAAGAGGUGGAAGUGAAGCAUAUCUCAAAAGUAACAUUUCACAAUGUAACAAAUAUACACGUGUGAAAGGUACAUGAUUUAAAGGUAUGCUGUUGUGCUGUCAGAUUUCAAUACAUCUUUGGACGUUGAUGUGGUCUUGACCCAUUUGGCACAAAAUCCAACUAGCAUAAAAAAACAUAAGGUGGCCAAUCUAGAUGAUUUUUCUGUCAUGAUGCUCAUAGUAAAAAAAUGAUUGACAGAUGCUAACACAUUAUGUUCGGAAAUGGAGGGGCUACUGUAUCUUAAUAACUAGCAUGCAUAUGAGAAAAAUGCUGUGCAUAUAAAGUAUUUAGUGGUAAUGGUUCUUACGUCCACCGCCAGGAGAUACAUGCCAUGUCUCCCCUUGUCGAGAACCAAUUCCUGCAAAGAAUUUUUCUUCCCACUUAUCCCCCCAUUUAGUGCCUAAAUCUGUCUCAGCCCACUUAUCUGUCCUGUAAGAACAUUCAUGCAAUGAAGGUGUUAUCAACCACUGGCAGAGUGGCAGUCAAGGAGAAAGUAUAUGUAACAAUAAACAACUUCCCAAUAUCGUGCAGAACUGCAGACAGAAAAUGUAAAGACAGGGCAUCAAUUUGUCCCUCAGAGGAACAACUCACUAUCAAAGUAUCACUACGAACUAUGUACUGGUGUCAAGCGUACAUUUUAGUGCAAUUAACCAAUUGAUAUGUGAAUCUACAUACCGAUAAACAACAAGAAAUUCUCUGUUGUAAUGAAAGGGUAAUUUGGAAAUUGUGAUUUGGAAACUAAACAUUCAAGAUUAAGCACAACACCGGCUGUACACGCAUCUUCUAUGACCAUAUAGCUUAUGCUGAAAAUAUGAAAAAGGCUCACCAUUUCAAUACAAAUCCACGGCCAUCAUAAUGUUCACCCCACCUCUCCCACCAAGACUGCUCGUUUAACCUUCCAUAUUUGUGAGCACCUUUUUCUGUCCAGCCUUUGGCAUCAUAUUUCUCCCACCUAGUAGAAAAUAUUUAUGGAUCAAAAUGAACUUUACAGACUUUCAACCAGAACCAUGAAAAAAAAACAAUCCAAUUCUCACCAUUUCUCAUACCACCCAGCAUUUUCUGCACCUGAUUUUGCUUGUUUUUCAGCACUUCUCUCUAUUCUUGCAAGAUUGCUGUAUGGGACAAGGCAACCCGUGUCAGUAUCUCUCAAGUGGGAUUGUUCUAACCUUGAAUGGAUGUCAAAGAAGAAACUGACACUGUGAGACAUGGCAGGUAUACUGUAAGCUAAGGUUGGGCUAGAUCAUCAGGUAUAGUGACAUUUACACCAAUGGAUUGGCUGGAUUUCCCAAUAGGGAACAUGAAUAAUGAUGUGGCAGAUCAUUUGUCUGUGCAAGAACAUUGCACCUAAAUUUCACACCUGAUGAUCUAAAUAACAUGGGUGCAUAGCCAUGGACGGUGUUACAAAUGCAAAUAGGUGGUAACAAUCUGCUUGUACUUAAAAAUGAAAAGUUCUCAGUAGAGCUACAGAAUCAACAUCAUUCUCAAAGUAGACUUAAAACAAGAAGGCCAGAUGGACCUCCAUAUGUAAUCUUGGUUAUAAGAAAGGUCUUCAUCAAUGUUUUGUUCUUAGGUUUGCAAUGGAGACUAAAUCUCAUGUCUUACCCGGGUAGGACUGGUAUACUUAAUAUAUAUGAUUUUACAGAUUAGUUAACUUACCUCCAUUCAUCUUGGUACAAAACUUCCUUCCAUUUUUCCCACCAAGAGUCACCUAAAGCAUUCUUCCCAGAUUUCUCGGCACCUAAUGUUUAUAGUUGUAUUUUAUUGAAAAGUCAGUCCCAGCAGAAGCGAGCAUAGAUUGAAAAAAAAACAAAACAAAGGCAUUCAACAUAGCUAAAACAACAAAAUUUGUGUGCUGAACUGCUAAUGCACAAUAAUCAUGUUGACUGAACAUUUCAAUAAGCAUACAUUGAAAGAAAACAAAAACAAAGUGUUCAGCAUAACUAAACAACGUUAUUUGCGUGCUAAUGCGCAAUAACCAUGCUACCUGCAAUUCAACAAUCAUGAAACUUAUAUACCAUCCUAAAUUAUCAAAGCACACAUAUGCUACAAAGAGGCAGAGCCUCCAUUAUAAAAGAAUACUUUGCAUACCUAGUUCCUUAUAUCCAGUCCAGUCACUUUUCUCCCACCACUGCCACAUAUAAUAAAGUUAUUAAGAUUUGCAGUAAUUAAAUAACAAGAUUACUGAACUCGCAAGCUUCAGUCGGUCAUUGAUGACAAAGAAUGGUUCUUUGUCCAGCACUUCAGCAAUUUGUCAACACAGUUAGGUGUCUUGUGUCUAGCUUUGGGAGGUUAAGGUUUCAAGCCUCCAUGCUUGAUUGAGUACAGUGAUGUUGAAGCUAGCAGAGAAUAUCCAUGUGCCAGUGCCCAUGCUAGAGUUUUUUUAGUGAAAUGAAAUAAUUACCUUAAUUCAAAAGGUAAUGCCACAAACUAAAAACUAGCUAUUAAAAAUAAAAGGUACAUUAACAGUUACACUAUAGAAGCAAUAGUUAUAAUGCUAGUAGAGUUUGUAAAUUGUGCUUAAAGUUGACCUGCUACUCAAGCAAAUCACUAAAAAUAAAGGUAAGAUCUAAACGUAGAGCACCCAAAGCCACACACCAAUUAUUUAAAGCUGCAAGCAUGUUGUAAAGGCAACUGAACGAGGACAGAUAUGAUCCAUCAGGAUAAGUAAAGAGCCAAAAACAUACAGUCUCUUUCCAUUCUGUGGAACCAUCAUGGCUCUGUCCUCCCAUUCUUGCCCAUCGGCACCGGAACCCAUUCUCGCCGAGAUCUUCUCCACUCUCCCUGUACCAAGUGCUUCCAUCUUCGUUCGUUCCGGACUCCUUGACUGCUUCAUCCAGCAAGUUGAUUCCCCACUCCUUCUCACUAGCAAUACCAGUGUCUAUAAGGCAGGUGCCAAACAAACACAUGCAUUUCCUUAGCAAAGCAAAGACCUAAAGUUUGGACUCUACAAGUGGGAGCAUUUCAUUUUGGACUAAACCAACAUUUUACUCUUAGGAUUGAAAAUGUCAGCAAGGAGCCUACCUCUCUUGGGCGGGGUAUCCCGGGAUUGAGGGGCCGGUCCCCUCUGCGUGCACCGCGGAUAGAAAUCUUGUUGCUUGAAUUGCCUUCUAGAACUAUACUAGUAAACAAUAAAAUGCGUGUUAAAAUUCCAUUCCCUAAGCAAUGUGCAUUGGACUACAAUAUCUGAAGCUUCUGAUAAAAGCAUUGGCACAUUAACUUGUCAUUACGCAAUCUAAAUCAGGAAAAAGAAACACCACAUGUCGGAAUGAUGCAAUCGACUAGUAACUGUAAAAUGCGGGCACACUCCACAAGUCCUUAGAACUAGAAAAAAAAUCCCCUAGAUGCGACGUGGCCAGCAGCCGUCCCGCGUACCGAGGUGCAGGGAAGGGGAGCGGAGGCAUGGCGGUGAGGCUGGCGCGCCGCCGGCCAGGUGCGGCGGCGGAUGGCUUGUUCCCAUCGACGCGCCACUCCUCGGCGCGCUCGGGCGCGGCCGCGGCCGCCCUGGAGAGGCGCCUCCGCGGCUCCGGGUCGGCCCCGGCGCAGCAGCACCGGAUCGCGGCGCGCCGUCGCGGCGCGGGGCGGCGCGGCCAUGGCGCCGCCCCCCUCGCCGUGGUCAGAUCGAACGGCGGCCACGCGAGGCCCCUGGAGCACGCGGCCAUCUUCUCAUGCCACGGCGAGGGCGGGGCCGUGGGGGGCGGGCGCGGCGGCCGGUGCCGGCGGGUGGACGGGCCGGUCGUCUAGCAGUGGCGGGAGGAGGGAGGCGGAGGGGAAGGUUUUAUACGAAUGGUGGGGCGGAGGCAGGCGGUGCGCAUCGCUGCUGCUCCGGGCCAACGAGAGCGACUGAUAAGGGUUCGCUCCCGCGGGGCCGAGGAGAGAGAGACGGGACAAGUUUCUAUGGGUUUUAUUAGAUCUUCGGAGAUGCUUUGGAUGGAGGCCGGGAAUGGCAAGGGAGCAUGAUAUGGCAUGAUAUGGGGCUGGGAGAGACGGAAGGAGGCGGGGAGACGGAGGAGGGAGAAGGCUGGGGUGGCGGGGCCCACAUGUCGGUGGUCGAUUCAGAUCGAACGGAGUCUGUGGCCUGUGCUGUAGGAGUGGGACCAUUCACGGAUGCGACUCUAGCUGUGGCUGCAAAGGCGGACAUUUCCAUUUUUUUCAAAUUAUAUAUGAUUUUUUACUAUGGUGAAUUGAAAUGAUACGAUAAUACAAGUUUAAGGGGAAUGGAAACGUCACAAACUCCAUCGUCUGUCAAUAUCCACGUCUCGUAAUAGCACUAGACGAUAUUGUAUUCGUAUCAACACGAUAUCAUUACCGUUUUGUGUUGUCACGAUCGACUCACAUCGUGCUAGCCACGGCCUUGCAGCUAGCCAUUAUGCUGAAGUGAGGAUCACAUUUAUGAUAUGUGAAUUAAUAGUGAUUCGGAAAAUUCAACUAUAUUCUAAAAACUAAUUGGUUCGUCUGAGCCCGUGGUUGCAACAAAGGGGGCGUUUUCUUCCCGUGUCUUAUUUUUAGCACGUGUCACAUCGAAUGUUUAGAUACUAAUUAGGAGUAGUAAACGUAGACUAAUUACAAAACCAAUUACAUAAGUGGAAUCUAAACGGCGAGACGAAUCUAUUAAGCCUAAUUAAGCCUAAUUAUUCCAUCAUUAGCAAAUAUUUACUGUAGCAACACAUUGUCAAAUCAUGGACUAAUUAGGCUUAAUAGAUUCGUCUCGCCGUUUAGAUUCGUCUUAUGUAAUGGGUUUUGUAAAUAGUCUACGUUUAAUACUUCUAAUUAGUAUCUAAACAUUCGAUGUGACGGGUGCUAAAGUUUAGCAAGUGGAAGAAAACAGGCCCAAAAGCUAAUCUCGGGUUGUUUUGUCGACCUUCUUAUUGAAUAAAGUUAUUUGAGUUAUUUGAGUCUAGGAGACAAUAGGAAAGUGAAGGACAUGUAGCCCUCUAAUUGUAGAGAUGCAAUGCAAAUGUACUGUAUGUACGAAGAUGAAGCACUUUGGCUGUGGCUUUGUGGGGAUGGAGCGAGAAAACGGGUGACUUCUGGAAUACUAUUGCAUCUUCUCCGAAAGGAUAGAGCUGCGAUAAGAAAAUUGCCUGGUGUCGGAGCAUAUCAACUUGCCACGCCUACCAGAAAACCUCGCCCCUUGUCCUACGGUGCUUGUGUCUCACGUACCCUACAAGUUAUUCCUUCGAGAACAACACACCAGUGAAUUGAAAAGUAAACAAUGCCUAGUCCUACUCGGAUCGACCAAUUGGUUACGUUGUUACCAGUUACCACAACUAAGCGUAACCACUGUAGUAAAUUUUACCACAACAAAGUAGCAUUUGAAAUUUUUUGUUUACAAGCAAUUAGUACAUUUGUUUUUCAGUUCAUGUAAGCGAAAGCAGAGACUGUACAUCGUUUACCACAUGCCUCGCCUAGGUACGCCAGUAGAGCAGUGCUUUGCACUUUGCAGUGUCACAUCUGACGUGGUGCCACGCGACGCGGAACAUGUGGACAAGACCGUACUCCACCGACGUGGCGUCCACCCGGGCGGCUAAAGCCGGAUCAGGAUCAGGGCCUCGGCACAGUUACGUGGAAAAAGCGCCGCCUCCCCGCGGCCACGGAUCGUCCACGUCGACGCCCCGGAUCAGGGGAAACACGGGGACACCCCACACGUGGCAGACAAGCCGCGCCGCGCGUCCAGGUGUUCAGGUAACUAGUGGCUCAGCUUCGUCGACGAGCCGGCCGGACACGCCGGGGCCCUGCGCUUUUCACCGGUCGCGACUCGCGGCGCGAGCGGAUAAGUGUUCACGCCCGGGAGCCUCCUCGGAGAGACCGACGGCCAUGCCGCCGGCCGUGGAAGCCGCGGCGUGUUUUUUUCUUCCUUUCUCGUCCUGGGCUCUCUCGGCAGCGGAUAAGAGCAUCGACUGCGCGCCGUGACGACAUGUUUUUGUGACCGGGUGUUUUGGAACGUACCGGCGCUUGGCUGGGGUGCGUUCAGGAAGCAUCUGCUCUGCUGUGUUGUCGCGGGAAAAGAUGUGGAAUCGUUCGUGUGGACGUGAUGCGGCCUUUGGCCUCAAGCGUCAGUUGGGGAUUUCGCGAUCGUUUGCGUCGGUGCCACCGUCGCAGAGUUCACUUUCGCUCUGGUCUCGGCACUUGCGCUAGCUUCGUCGAGAAAGAGACGUGGCGUGGGAGAUUAAAAACAUUUCUUUGCCGAAUUUACCCGAGAUAUGUUCGAGCCAAUUCUGUUAAGCUGGCGUCUACAACUACCUGCGCUUCUUCCGGUCCUUCACGCGCACCCCGCCAUGCACGCCAGGCUCCCUGAAGAAUCGUUCAGUUAGUUAGAUAGGAACUGUUCUGUACUUGUAUAUAAUUUGUACAUCGGUGAUCAAUACAGAGCGCUAUUCAUCCGAGUCUGUUUCUACAUGGUAUCAGAGACCGACGGAUCCACCCUCUCCAAUCCGUUCGCCACAGCUUCCGCCCCCAUGGCUCCAUCGCCUGCCAACUCUUCUGCUUCCUCUGCCUCCUCCGACGAUUUCUCUGAUGCAGCCCCUCCUCAACCAGCUCCGGCCGCCGUUCUUCAGACGGUGAACGUCCGCUCCCACGUCCCCAUUCUGCUUGACUUUGAUGCGGCCAACUACAGUCAAUGGCGCUGCUUCUUCGAUUCUGUUCUCGGCAAGUUUGGCCUUGACGAUCAUGUGCGCUCUCCGACGCCGCUCGCCCAGCGCACCGCUGAGUGGCGCCAAAUCGACAGCUGCCUCGUCAAUUGGAUCUACACCACCAUUGCCAAGAACGUCUUCGAUCUCGUCCAUAAACCCCGCACCACGGCGUUCUCGCUGUGGUCUGACGUCGAGGGCCACUUCCGUGACAACGAGCUUGAGCGCGUUGUUCUUCUGGAGGCCGAAUUCCGCAGCGUCCAGCAAGGCGACCUGUGCGUCCACGACUACUGCACCAAGCUCAAGCGCCUCGCUGACCAGCUUCGCGAUGUCGGCCAUCCUGUUUCAGAACCAAGUCAGGUUCUCAACCUCCUCCGCGGACUCAGCCCCAAGUACCGUCAUGUGAACCUCCUCCGCGGACUCAGCCCCAAGUACCGUCAUGUGAAGCCGGUAAUCAAAUCCAAGUCCCCACCCCACACCUUCCGCAGUGCAAUGUCGUACCUGCUCCUGGAGGAGGCCAGCGACUCCCAUGACGCCAAGGCGAAUGCCGCGCAGGCUUACCUCGCUCGCCACGGUGGCCCCGCUACUGGUGGCUCCUCCAUUGGAAGCUCCGGCGGAUCCGGCGAUUCCGGCUCCGGCUCGCGCUCCCGCUACAGGGACAAGAAGAAAGGGCGGGGCUGCGCAGGCUUACCUCGCUCGCCACGGUGGCCCCGCUACUGGUGGCUCCUCCAUUGGAAGCUCCGGCGGAUCCGGCGAUUCCGGCUCCGGCUCGCGCUCCCGCUACAGGAACAAGAAGAAAGGGCGGGGCUAUGGCUCCUCCUUCGGCGCUACUACAAAUUCAAUGGGACAUAAUAGGCCGACAAUGACGACGAAGAUGGGCUGAUGGCGGUGGGAAAGUCCAUUUGCAAGGGACCAAGCCCAUACCUUCUCAUCGGGCCUAAAUAGAGCUUGGAAGUCCUUAUAAAAAGAAAAAGGGCUGAUCAGCCAACCUUUCUUUAUUCGUUGGUAAGUUGCGGAAAUCAACAGCUUGACACGUACACAAAGCACGUACUAAAACACAGCAAAAUGUACACGGCAAGCGCGGCGCACAGUACAAACUGAAACUCCAAAGGCUACUACUACUGGAUGUAGGACUGGCCGGUGAUGUCGAGGUCGCGGUCGCCGGUGGACGGCGGCGGCGGGUGACUGGGCUUCCCGGCGGCCUUGGCCUCCUCGGGCCCGUCUGCGCUCUGCGUGGCGCUGGCGCGCGGCCUGGCCGGGUCCCUCCGCCGGCCCUGCCCCUCCUCGGUCGCGUACAUCCCGCCGCCGUAGGCCUCCCGCGUGAGCGGCUUCAUCUCGGAGAUGUUGGGCGGCUGGUGCUCCCGCUGCAGCUGCGGCUGCUCCCCGGCCACGAGGUCGGCCAGCUCCGGGUCGCUCGACGGCACCUUGGGCUUCUCCUCUCUGUCCUCCAUCGCCUUCUCCCUGUUCGGAAAAACCCUCUCCAUUGAUGGUACUCGUGCGCGUGUGCGUGUGUGCGUGUCACUCGUCUUGUCGCAAGUAGGCUGGUGCUCAUCCGGCAGCGGCCUGUGAGUGGGCUUGCUUAAAUAGCUGCGCGGUGGAUGGAGAUGGAUCGGGACGAUCGCGCCGGGAGACAGCCUCGCGUGAGAUCUCGUGCGUGCGUGACCGCGUGCGCUUGUUUAUUCCGGCGCGGCUGCGGCGUUGGGGGGUACGCGUGUCGCGGCCGGGGCACGCGUGGAGCAAACGCUCGAGGGCCGCGUGGGACGAUCGGGACACCUGCUAGAGGUCGGUGCCUGGGGUGUCGGGGGACGUGACUCGUGGACGUCACCAUGUCGAAUGCCGCCGCCUGGAUCGGAUGUGGCCCGGGCCGCCGCAGCAUUUGAUCUUUUCCGUCGUAGGUUCGUGCGGCAAGAGGUGAACUCUAUAUGGAGCCAUCUACACGCACCUACCGAAAGCCAUUGCAAAGUGAUGUGCCGCGACUGGUUGAACUGGACAGGUGGUGGUUUCCGUCGUGCAUAGCUGUGGUAGUGCGUUUAAGGUGCCGGGUUCCUCGGGCGUCCAUGCCGAUUCUGUGCUUCAAUUCGCUCCUCAUCACGAAUCAGACGACGAUGGAACCCAUCUUUCUGCUGGACGAUACCAUCGAUGUCGUGUGUGCGCUAACCCGGAGGCAUCAUCGCCAAGUUCACCCACCCCUGCUUGGGUCCCUUCCGGCAGAUGCCGUAGCCGUCUGCGCGAAAGGCUUUACGUGCAGCCAGAGCCAGCACUGGCCCCAUGAGACCAUGCCGUUUAUGCGAUGCAGCAUCUCUUCGUCCUGUUUUUCUUUCUGAAGAAGUCAGCAGCAUCUCUUCCGGUGGAGCCGAAUCGUAGGUGUGCCCGCGCAGCCGGGUGCGCUUCUGCUCGCGCAAUUUCCAGGGCACUGCGCCGGCAUCAAGAGACGGGAUUAAAUUUAAUCCCUAUCGUAUCACAUCAAGAGUCGUUUCCUGUCCUGUCCUUUCCUUGGGCCAAUGCAGACCGAGACCGGUCAAGGCACAUUCAUCUCCGAGCAGGGCGCAGCAUCACAAUUUGGGUUCCCUAUCCAAGUAUACCACAUCAUCGGCAGUGGUUUCACAGGCUUGCUGUAGGAGCGUUUUCCGCGUUCAACAGAAAUUGCCAUGUCCAGAAUGUUCAGCUGGGUCCAUCAUCAGCUAAGCUGCAGAAUGUUCAAAACGGCGAUCAGCCGAUCAGGAUUGAAUGCAUGAAUUCAUGAACCUAGCUAUAGUUUCUGUUCGGAGUACGGAGGAAACUACCAUGAACCUGCACUGCGGCGAGCGAGACGUUGCUCGCAUCAGUUGUAGUGCCCAGCAUGUCACUCCGAUCGGCCAUGCCGAUAUGUGCUUCUCAGUGGCAGACACCUGCCGAACAUGCUCUCGAGUUGUUGGACGAAAUGAACUUUCUCAGCACGCUACGCUUGCACUUGGGUAGAGUCGAGUCAGGGUGAGGUCUUCUGGGUGGACGACCUGAGAUUGGAGUGGAUCGAGUCCUCUGUUGACUUGACCGGCAACUGAAGUCUAUGGCCAUUGUCUGUUCCCGAUUCCGGAGGGCGUCCAGCCGGAAAAUCAUACGUGCCCACAAGUGCAGACACGACACGACACGAGAGCUGUGUUCUGCUUGUUGGCAGUGCGUGAUGGCGCCCUGCGGUCUGCGUACUGCUCCACGCGGUGUGGUGUGCAGAGUCCACGCCGAGGUCUCCGGUCGCGUCGUGGCGGCACUGCCACCCUCCAAUCGCUUUCCUCCUCCUCCUCCUCCAAGAACAAACCAAGAAAACACAGUACAGUCCUUGAUUCUUUGAUGCGCCAUGGAUGCCUUUCGGAUAUGUGAUCGGAUCAGUAGUGUGCCUGAAGAACUGGUCUACAUGCCGUAUUCCGGCUGCGUGCAUGGAAAAUUCAGACCCCGUUUUGUUCGCAUGUACAGGCGUACGGUGCAGCUGAACGAGUCCUAAAGACGAAACACGGGCUGGAUGAUGGAACUGCUCAAAAAAAAUUUCAACCGGAAAAGGAAAAUCCGCAUAGUGACGCCAAACCAGGCGCAUUAUUUUCCAUGCCAAACUGCAGAAAAUGCAAGCGCCAGCGUUUUCCCUGAUCGAGAUUCGAGUGAUGAAGAAUCAGUCCGCGGGUUCAGCCAAGGAAGGAACUGUAUUUGAAUUCAAACGACAGGGGCACAAGCAAUUUCAGCCAUGCAGAGAUGAUGAGAGCCCUAGUAGAGGUAGAGCCUUUCAUUUUUGCUUCGGACGCGUGACUUGUCCGGUCAUCUCGGCAUUCGCCUAACUCACACUCGAUCAUGUUGCUGUUGCAGAACAGUGUGUGUGAACCUACAAAAAAUUUUGGCACUGCUUGUGCAUGCGACUUCGUCGACCUGCAGGCUGGGGGCCUGGGGUUCACACGCUACAAACAAACAGGGCACGAUUUGGUCCGUCGAUUCGUGAUGAGUUGAGUUGAUUCAGUUCGUCAGAGAGAGCGGUCUCUAUCAGGUGGAAAGCCAGUCCGCCUUCAAAGUCGGUCAAGAUGACCAAAUGGCGAGGCGCAGCCACACACCUAGAGCAUGUCUGCUGGAUCUGGAUGCUAGUAGCUGUGGAUUUUCAAGCAAGCUUAUGACCCUUGACAACUCUAAUUAAGAUCCAGAAUUCUUUUUUUUUUUGCUAGGAAGAUCCAGAAUUCUAUUAUGAACUGCUCAUUAAGAUGGUACAUGACUGCAUGCGUGGUGAUAAUUCUCUUCCAUUUGCUUUAGACUGAAGUCAGUUUUCUGCUUCUGACUUCUCUGCAGAGUAAGAAGGUUAAUUAUUAAAGAGGUAGUGAAACAGGAGUGUGAAGAGAGACUUGUAUUUUUACAUCACUUAUACUUCAGAGUUCAGACUGAAGCCAUUCUCUGUUCUGCUUUCACUGCAUUACAGUACUAUAGAAACAAGAGUGUGAACAAAGACUUUUACCCAGUUUGGUGCAGCUUAGGAACCAGGAGAGGUUCACAUGACUAUGAAGGAACUUUACAGGAAACAAACGUGGUAAAUUUUCCCAAAAUCCUCGCAUUCAAGAUGGGUCAUGUACUAUCUUAGGAUGUGGUAAGAGUGGAAGACUACCAAGUCAUUGGUAAACCGGCCAAACCAACCAGAAGCAUUGCACGCCAUUCGUUAGCUCAAAUUCAAAUUGGGAUUGCCUGAUCGGCAGAUAAUCUCGGUGGUCGUUUUGGGUCAUCGCAACGAAAAGUAUUCUAGACGUCAAAAUCCUGUGUUAAUGUGGACUGCGACUCACACCUUUGAAAUAUAAAUUAGUCAUUAGACCAGCAGGGCAAGGUAUAGGGAUAGUAAUUUAGCGGUAACGACAGGGGCCCAACUCACCACACUCGUGGUGAAUUAGGCUUCAUCCAGGUGAUGAAGCAAUAAUUUCUUCUUCUUUUUUGUCAUGAUUCAAGCUGUUUUUCUAGACUGUACCAAGAGCUCAUCCAGUGUCUGCCUUUUGUUAUAGAUUAAACCUAGCACACAAGGGGUGAAAACCGUUAUAUAACGCCGCCUUUCAGAAAAAAGAAGUGACUGCAGUGAGAGAAUGCUUCAUAUAGACUUGCAGCUACGGGGUUACGGGCAAUGUGGCUAGCUUAAAAGAGAAAAAUAGAAGCAUGCAUCCACACAACACUUUCUUAUUCAAAGUGGCAUGUACUUGAUAUUGACAUCUUUUCAAGAUUGAAAAUAGUCGCCAUCUCAAUCCAACGAGCUUAUACUAAGUCUAAUAUUCCGUUGAUGUUGACUCCAGAUAAGUUAUAAAGCAAGUCCAGUCAUACAUUUCGAGAGGCUGAACAAUAUGGAAUUCAAUUACAGAAGAAGCACCAAAGCAAUCUCCCUUUUGCCGUGAUAGAACUGCUUUGUCUCUAGUAGAUAAUUGGUUUUUCAUUUUUUUUCCUUUUCUUGUGACAGAAAAAAAAACAUAUGCCUUCAUUCGUUCUGCCUAUGUUUUAUGAAUAAUUUUUCAAAUUUAUGUGACACAUGCUACACGAGAUGCAACGCCAUGGCAGAAUGUUAGACGGGAGAUGCCGUGAUCCUAGUUUCCUAGAUGUAGAUUGAUUGGCUUAUCAACGCCUUUCAUCCAGGUCCACCAACCGUGCUCCAGAGAUCCGUAUCAAACAUGUAAAAAGAGUUUGACAAACAAUAAACUAAAUCAAAGAGAAAAAGCAAAAAGAAAAUGGUGAGUGUUACAAUUCAUUGUAGCAUAAUUUAUUAUAGUUCAUGAACCUAAAUGACACUGUCGAGCAAACCGUGUUGGCGCACUUUCCUCUAGAAAAAUAAAAGGCACCACUGAAUCCUAACAAGCAAACUAAGAGAGAGAGAGAGAAAUGCUUACUAACCUAUGAAAAAAUGAAUAAUUUGGUGAACCCUACAAACUAAAUGGUAAGCAUAUUAUUAUAUUAACAUAUAACUAGACAUUCAAAGUAGAACUGGUUGUACGAGCAGUGUCAUCUUCCAAUCAUCAUUAAGAUGACUCCUGAUGCCACUAGGUAGCCCAUCAACCUCUAAUGGGCAAAUAAUAGAUUUCACAACGAAUAAGAACACAUCAAUGAUUUAGCCGAACACUCCAUAACCGUUAGCCAUCAGGUUUUCCAAAAUGGAGAGUCACUGCUAUUAUUCAAUCGUCACAACCAGAUGCGGUUAUUCAUUUCAGGUGUAGAAAAGGGUCAAGUUUUGUGACUUAACAAAUCCCCAGAGUCCAUCCAAACACACACCUCAAAUAAAAUAAAAAAGGUUUCCACAUAAUGCAGUAAAACUAUUGCUGCUGUUGAGCCGCCGAACUCAUUCUCUGAGUGAGCAAGCACGACCUACUUACUUGUCGUUUUCAGCGCUGCUAAGAAACUGUGACCACUGGUCUCCAGGAAACCGCGUGACUUCAUAAAACCCUGGCUAUAUAAGCGAGGCGGCCGCUACCCGGCACCCUCAUCCAUCGACCGGCGCAAGGCGAAGCAAGCAGAGCUGAAGGAGGAGAGCACUUGAGGCCUAGCACGAGAGAGCACACAACAGCGACGGCAAUGGCGUCCAUGGAAGUGGAGCAGGAUCUCCCGGGCUUCCGGUUCCACCCCACCGAGGAGGAGCUCCUCGACUUCUACCUCGCCCACAUGGUCCACGGCAAGAAGCUCCACUUCGACAUCAUCGGCACGCUCAACAUCUACCGCCACGACCCAUGGGACCUUCCUGGUACGUCCACGAUCAAGAUGGCAUGUGAUCUUGAGACGAUCGAUUGGAUGGUUUGUCUGAUCAUCAAGCUGUGACGUGGUGUGCAGCGAUGGCGAAGAUCGGGGAGAGGGAGUGGUACUUCUUCGUGCCGCGGGACCGGAAGGCCGGCAGCGGCGGGCGGCCGAACCGGACGACGGAGCGCGGGUUCUGGAAGGCCACGGGGUCGGACAGGGCCAUCCGGAGUUCGGAGAACGCCAAGCGGGUGAUCGGGCUCAAGAAGACGCUCGUCUUCUACCAGGGGCGCGCCCCGCGGGGCACCAAGACGGACUGGGUCAUGAACGAGUACCGCCUCCCCGACUACGGCACCGGCCGCGGAGCGCCGCCGCCUCCCCAGGUAAUGAUGAUCCGCCGGACGGAGUUCCGCACAAGUGCUCGUGAUUUUCUCAGGAAUUUCGCCAUCCUAGCUAGAACUGGUAGCAAAAUUAACAGUGAUGAAAGAAAGAUCAUAUCAAGCACGAAACGUUUACUGAUCAAUUUUUUAACUGCCUUUCACUGGUUUGGUACGAAAUUGCCAAAUCAGCGUGCGAUUUAAACAGUAAUUAACUGGGGGAGGUAAAGUGCUGAUCGGCUUCUUGCCUUUGGCCUGAUAUCUGAUUUACUACCAUAUUGUGUUUUUUUUCUUCUCUUCGUCAGUUGACUUAGGAGUUGACCCGCUUUUCCUUUAAACUGCAUGGAAAUUUUGUCCAGCAAGAAACGUGGUAGCCUACUAGGCCAUAGCAUGCAAUCAAUCAUUGUAGGAAAUUGACGAAUGUCUGACGUUUCUGCAGGAGGACAUGGUGCUGUGCAAGAUCUACCGGAAAGCCACCCCACUGAAGGAGCUGGAACAGAGAGCCUCUGCCAUGGAGGAGAUGCAGAGGCGCAGCGACGCUGCACACUACACGGCCAGGGCAUCCCUGACCCAGGCCUCGGCCUCCGCCGGCGACGACUACCUGUCGUCCGACGACAGCUUCCUCUUCCCCUCCGCUUCCUCGUCGCCGCCAUCGGGCGACAGCUACAGCGCGCACAAGGAAGCCAAGCAGGAAGCGGCAGAAGCGACGGUCACGGUGGCGUCGACGUCUCUGAUGCAGGCGGCGAACAUGGCCGUCAUGCAGCCCCCGGCGGUGAGGCACGGCGACCUGCCUACCCUGCAGGUGCCGACGAACCAUGGAGCCCUGGACUGGAUGCAGGACCUGUCCCAGCUACGCAGCCCGUGGCAGGACCAGUUUUUCUUGUCUCCCUUGGCCAAUCUGCUCUCUUGAAGGGUUUCAAAAAUCUGCUCUCUUGAAGGGGACAAUACUGGAAGAAGGUGAAGUGUCCCAAUCUAGUCGCGUUAUCAGAAUGCGUUUCAGGUUCAGCUUUGCAAGGUGCGAGCUGCAAGCGUGAUGCUAGCUUAGAGGUGAAACCGGUUGUACAUACUGAAUAUUAGUUUUAGAUGCGAUUAGUUAUUGUGGAUGCCUUUUGGUAUGUUAUGUUUGACAUGACUGAAAUCGCAAUAAAUUAACUGAGAAUUGGUGGUUCUGUUUGCUACGUUCUACAAUCCUGAUCCUUCAGAAAACAAAAUACUUGAUGAACAUUGGAGUCCAGAGAUAGGAGUAGAUCUUGCUUGAGUUGUAGUAUAAGGGUUUUUUUUUACAUAUACAUAGAAAAAAUUUCAACAUUUUGUAUGUAACAUUUUGCAUAAUCCAUAAGAAAUCAAAAUAAUUGAGGACAGUCAUGACCCAUAGAAAUCAAAUAAUUAAGGACAAUAAGCCUAAGCCAUCAAAAUCACUAUUUUAGGGAUGCUUGCUCGAUAUCACCUUUCCACUUUUUUUCCUGCUAAGGGAUCAUAAGACCACUUUCUUCUUCCCUUGUAUAUUGAUCACCCUUCUCGUGCUUCCCAAAUCGCCUUCGCUCUACCUCACAAAUGUUAUAGUGCAAAACAUAUAGGUGUCUCGUGAGCAAGGUUUUGCCAAGAAAAGUUACUUUUGGCACACCAGACGGACAAAAAUUUAACCACUAAAUUGUUCUGAAGACAUAUAUUGUUAAAAGAUACUCCUCCGUCCCAAAUUACUAAUUUUUUGACUUUUUUUAAGGUACAUAGCUCUUGAUAUGUACCUAGAUAUAUACUAUAUCUAGAUACAAAGAUAAAGUUAUGUAUCUAGAAAAACCAAAACGAAUAAUAUUUUAGGAUGGAUGGAGUAUUAUGAAAUUAUUCACACGUAGGUUUCUUAUAUGGCUGAUAACGUUCUUCUAAAUCAUUGGCCUCUAACGCGAAUCCACGAAGAAAUUUUGGUUGAUAUCCCAGUUUCAAAGAUACACCAAGCUUUCUCCGGUUUCUUUGUCUGAAAGCACAAUUAAAGAUGGCAUGUUCUCUUGUACUCCGUAUUAAAAAAGAUGAGAUGGUCUCUAGUUUUCCUCGGCGUUCUCUAUUAUAAAUCGGCUCCAUAUUCUUUUUUAUAUAAAAAAUCGGCUUCACACGAAAGUAUCCGAUUAAGGAGCUUUAUCCACAGCACAGAGGCAAAAAGAAUCAAGAACUUGAGCUUCCGGCACACUUGGAUUUACAAAUCCACUUUAUGAAAAGAACUUUUUUGCCUGUCCACGUUGUUUUUCUUUUUUGGAGGGAAAUCCACGUUUUUUUUUGGAGACUCAUCACUGCUCUUUAUUAAUCGCCUGGGUGAUAAGAAUUACAAAUUCCAGGGUGGAGGUGGACACAAACCACACAUGACACAUACACCUACACCUACAGGGAAAUCCACGUUAUGGAAUCAGCCCAUCGGGCUCCAUAAAACAUUCAGGUCAGAUCCAUCAUGGACCUUGUGCAUGGCCCAUUCGAUGUGCCGUCCCAGCGCCGAGAGUCGUGGGCCAGGCUCAUACUGUGGUCCUGUGGCACUUCGCUCACAGGCGUGGUGGGCUGCCUGCCGGUGGUCUUGCUUGACUCCUCGGUACAAUUUCUUUUUCUACUGUUGGACCAUUUUUUGUACAGACUAGGCGAGUAGCCCACGCGUGUUAAGAACAUAUUUUGUGUGACAAAAGGAGCUGUAUUUUUGUAUAACUCACACGGGGCCAAGUUUUUUCACAAAAAAAUGUGCAUCAAACAUGAGUGUCCGUGAUCUAAAAUAAUAUAACCUUCACUAAUUUUGAAAUACACAAGUGCAUUUUCAUGUGGUGUUGUGGGGCGAAAUUUUACUCUCCCACCACCCCCGCAGCUGAUGCCGGCAAGUUUCUCGCGCACAGAAAAGACAGGACGCAAAAUAUAUCCAACCAAUUAUUAUUGAUUGGCUCCAUCGUUGCAUCAUUACAGAAUACAUCAAGAGAUGAGACAGUAUAUACAUCAUCUUUGAAGACAUAAUUAGUAUUCCCUCCGUUCCAAAAUAUAGAUCGUUUUGAGUUUUCUAGAUACAUAAAUCUUGCUAUGCACCUAAAUAUAGAGUUAUGUCUAGAUACAUAGUAAAAUCUAUGUACCUAACAAAAUCAAAACGAUGAAACGGAGAGAGAGUACCCACAGUCGUCACAUGCCGAAGCUGGUAUAGGUUGCCAAGUUUGCGUGCUAGGCAGCUGCUAGCUUUAUUCUUACUACUAGCUGUAUAGAGAGAGAGAGAGAGGCAAACACACACGUGAAGGCUAGCUUAGCGCACGCGUAGUCAUAUACGGCAACCACAGAUCAGCUAGUGACUUAUCACUUGAUCAUUCGUUCUCAGCUAGCCACCUCCGUAAGGCUUCUGGUUCUUGCAGGCCAUGUUGUCCCCGUACCCCACUCGGAGCAUGUCGCAGUACCUCUUGUAGUAGCCGACCCGGUCCUUGGCGCCGUCGGUUCCCUGGCCCCGCCCGCACUCCUGCCCGCCGUUGAUGAUGUUGGUGGUCAGGCCGUAGCCGGGGAGCCUCCCCGCGGCGCGGUCGGCGGCGGAGGGCGCCCAGACGUCGGUCAUCACGGCGUGGCACGACGGCUUGGGAGACUGCGGCGUCAUCCAGAACCAGAUGGCCGUCUUGAACGCCACCACGGGGUCGCUCGACACCAGGUCAGGGUUGCUCACCAGGUCCAGCCCCAGCGCCUUCCCGGCUUGCCUGUAGUUGUAAUCGCUAUAUGCGAAGGCGAAACCGUGUGAUUAGUUGCUCAAGGAUCAACUGGUUAUUGACAUCGAUCAUCGACGGCUAUGAAACUGUGUAAUCUUACUGAGUUAGCUGGAUGGGUCCUCGUCCAUAGUAGGGUGGGUCCGUGGGGUUCUGUUCCUUCACCCGGCAGUAUCCCCAGGCGAACUGUCCAUCCGGAGCAGUAGCCCAUCCACCUGCAUAUAUGACCACAUUCGUCAACCGCACAAAGUAUUAGAGCAAGAUUGACAUGUAGCAAAGCUUCGUUAAUCGAAGAUUCUUGAUCAAAUGGAAAUAAGAAGGGAAAAAUAAGCAUGAAGAGUACCGUACCGGUGGUUUCGUGGGAUGUUUGGCCGAAGAAGGCGGCGAGCUCCCGCCGGCGGGUCUGGUCGUCACCGGUGGUGCCGAAGCCGGGGAACUUGCUGGCGGCCUCGAUGAAGGCGUCGUAGGUGUAGAAGGCGCCCUGACAGCCGCUGUCGCCGCGGUGGCUGAGCAUGCGCUGGAACAUGGGCCGCGUGAUGAUGCUCCACACGCCCUGCUGCUGCCCGCUGGCGCCGCCGGCCGCGGCGAGCAGCGCGGCGCCGGCGAAGCAGAUGAGCACCGCGAUAGCCUUCGUCGUCAUGGCUCGCUUGAGGAUGCGGCGUGGUGAAGAUGUGGAGUGUCACUGCCACUCAGGCGUGGCUUUUAUAAGGCCGAGGCCCGAGGCCGAGCGAUCGAGCUACGCUUUAUGGCCAGGUCACCGCCCGUCUGGUUACCACGCACCCUCGGUAGCUUUCCCACAGGCCACGCACGGUACAUCGUAUCAGGCGAUGGUAAGGUUGCGAUGAGGCCAAAAGGCCAUGGCAUUGGCACAUGAGCCGGUCGGCUUUGCGUUGACUCGUGGUCCACGCAUGAGAUUAUUGUUGCCGAUAUCUUGCGGCAUGCUGCACAGCCUUGUCAGGCCGAGAGCGAUCGAUCGAACUGAGCUUAUGGUCAGGUCACUGUCGGUCUCAAAUGAAAUGAAUUUGAUACCGAACAAAUUUGUGAAUAAAAAAUAGCAUUUAAAAGAUAAAAAAUAGAAAAUAGUAGAUCCUCCUUUAUAACGGGUAGGGUUCUUCUUUUAUAGUGACUCGUGAGCCAUUUACAUUUCGAAAAUGUCCUUACUCAACCAUACAUUCCUAAGAUAUGUCGUAAAUAAAGAUUAUUGGUGGUAAUGUGUACAAAUUGAAUUCUUCGACGUGGUCAUGUUUCUCACACCUCCAUCCUUCCAGUCUCAAGACUUCGCCUUCGUGUCAAGUUGAUCCUCUAGCCUUGAGACUCCGUUCACGAUCCAAGAUGGACGUCUAGCCUCGAGGCGUAUGCUUCACUGAGCUUCGUCGAGAACUCGUAGCUUCGCGCAGGUCCCCUCUGAGUACCGAUUCUGAGUAAAGAGUAAAAAAGAUAAAAGCUCGGUGUCCACUCAUAAUAACCUUGCCAAGUCAGCAAUUUUGCUGAAGUGGUAACAAAUUUAAUGCUCAUGAAACUACUUAAGCCCAGAAAGAGGAGAGAACUUUUUCGAUGAGCUUAAGCCUAGAAAGAGCAGAGAAUUUUUUCACUGCUCAUCGAUAUGAUGCGCUUCUGCUUGUCUGUAGAAACGGCACAGGGGCACAGCUGGACAGGACCAAACUGAUCAUUGAUCAACUCUAUAGCUCACUGUACAACAGACGAGCUCUGAUUUUGAAAAACAGAAGUAAAUUCACUUGCACCCUGCCCGUUUCGAACUUUUGUCAAUGUAAGAUAUACACGGGCCCAAGAAAUGCAUCACAGAAAUGCCAAACCAGGUUAGUUACAACCACAUGUGAACUGAGAUCCGACCGUGGAUAUAGAUAAGUGACGCAUUUAUCAUCCCUGAAAAAGACUAGACUAAAGUAUACACGCAUCACGCCGAAGGUUGCCUUUGCUUGAAUUGCUAAUUUGCUAGCUUUAUUCGUAUUAACAUCACUCAUACUCCAUGUGAAGGCUAGCCAGCGCAGUCAUAAUACAUGUAGCCACCCUCUAAUACGGCCAGCCAGUGGUGGUGAUUGAUUACUACUACUACUACUAUUUCACUAUUUCAGUUGCAAAUUAGCCGGUGGGUCCGUAAGGCUUCUGGAUCUCGCAGGAGAGGUUGCCACCUUCCGCCACCCCAAGCAUCUCGCAGUACAUUCUGUAGAACCCGACCCGGUCAUCUGGAUCUCGCAGGAGAGGUUGCCACCUUCCGCCAACCCAGCGUCUGGUGAUCACGUCGUGGCACGAGGGUUUCGCGGCCUGCGGCGUCAUCCAGAACCAGAUGGCCGUCUCGAAUGCCACCACGGGGUUGCUCGACACCAGGUCCAGCUUCAACGCCCGCCCGGCUAGCUCGUAGUUGUAUUUGCUGUUGCCAACGUCGUCGUUGCAGAUGCAUGAGAGAUCAUUUUUUCAAAAUUUUGCUUUGUUGAUUAUUGAUCAAAGAUCAAGUAAAGAUCUUACUGAGUGAGUUGUAUGGGUCCACGUCCGUAGUAGGGUGGGUCCGUCCGUUGCUGUUCUUCCACGCGGCAGUAUCCCCAGGCAAACGGCCAACCCCGGAGCAGCUGGCCAUCCACCUAUUACCGAUUGAUUGCUACAGCAAAGCUUAAUCGAAGACUAGCUAUCUCUUGAAUGAACCAAAGAAAAGGUUAACCGUGUGAAGAUUGCCAGUGGUUUCAUGGGAGGUUUGGCCGAAGAAGGCGGCGAGCUCCCGCCUGCGGGUCUGGUCGUCGCCGAUGGUGCCGAAGGCGGGGAACUUGCCCGCGGCCUGGAUGAAGGCGUCGUAGGUGUAGAAGGCGCCCUGGCAGCCGCUGUCGCCGCGGUGGCUGAGCAUGCUCUCGAACACCUGACGCGUGAUGAUGGCCCCCACGCCCUGCUGCCCGCUGGCGCCGCCGGCCGCCGCGAGCAGCGCGGCGCCGGCGAGGGCCAGCAGCGCGAAAAGCCUUCUCAUUGUUCUAGCCAGCCUUCGAGGAUGUGGGGAUGGUGGAGUGCCACUGCCGUUUGGACACGGCACGGCACGGCACGGCUUUUAUAAGGCCGAUCGAUAAGCUUUACUACUCUACACGGUAAGGUGAGGAACUUUUCCGAAAGAUCUUCAGGUUAGGUACUCGCGUCAAGGUCUGGUUUACACUCACCCUUGGUAGUUUCCAUGGUACGGUAAGGAUGCGGUGGAAUUCUGAGGCUCCCAGUGCCCGUGCCAGCUUGCAUUGGAAAAUUGGUUGCAGCAUUUGCCAUCUGGCCAUCUGGGUAUACUGCCAAACCGAGAAGACUUCCAGUUCCAGGUCUUCUUUCAUCUUUCUCCUGAAGACUCGGCUCUUCUUCUUCUUUUAGACUCUCCAACUCGAUCCAUCAUCAGUCUGAUGGCCCAAUAAACCUGGUAUGUUACUGGCCCAACUCGGGCUGGUAGCCCACCAGCUUCUUCGACCACCACCACCAACCCGGGACCUGGGCCACUCCAGGUCAACAGCCCAGUAGCCGGUGUCACGCGGAAGGCGGAACCGAGGUCGCCUCGCCACGUCGCGGACUUGCGGUCCGACCCAACUGCGUUCGCCGGUCCGCCAUCACGGCGUGCACUGUGCACGCGGCGGCUCCGGCGGCAUCCGGGCCUGGAUGCACACCAGAUCGACAGGUCCAGCUCCUGUGCCUCCCCGUCCUCUCGUUCCGGUUCUUGCACACAGAACACACACUUCAAUCGCCGUCUUUACCUUUACAUCUGUGAUGGCCCCUGGACCGGUCACCAUCGGCUCGGUUGGCAGACCGGCAGCGCUGUACUCAGAUGGCUGGCCAUGGGACUCGCGAGUCAACGACAGGUAGCCCAGAGACACGCUGGCUGGACCGGAGCCUCCAAAGUUGUUGCAUUGACUGCCAUGGAACGCAACGGCAGUGCAGGAGCCGUUCUUCACAAGGAACAGUUGCUGCAGCGCUUGCCGAAAUGAUCUGCUUCUCCAUGUCUGAACAUUCAGCUCAAGGUUCGCCAGCACGACAAGACCAAUCAACCAACAAGAGAGCAAAUCUCUAGGUUUAGCGGACCACAAGAUAAUUCCCUUGCAUUCCGCCUGUUUCGAUUUUUUUUUGGUCAAUGUAAGAUGUACACGGGCCCAAAAAAAUGCAUCACGGAAAUGCCAAACCAGGUAGUUACAACCACAGGACUGACUAACUCUACAGCACACCAUCCACUAGCCAAUGACAUUCCCGACACCGGGAACCAGGAGCUAACCACGUCUUUUAGGAAGCACUGAGUAGCAUGUCUCUCUCAACAUGAACCUUUCGAGCCGAAGGAGAGGGGACGCCGGCCGAGCCGAUUGGGCUCUCAAGACUUGGUGUUCUUCUGCCGCUUCUCCUCGAGCUGCGAAGCCUCGUUCAGCAUGUCCAUGGCGUCGCUCUGCAUGUUCAGCUUCGAGAGGGCCACGGCUUGCAUGUAGAACGCGGUGGGCCAGUCAGGGUACACGCACUGCGCCUGCAUCGCAUCGCGGAGGGCGGCGUCAGGUUGGUCACACAUGAGGUGGCACAGGCUCCUCCUUGCGUACACUGUUGGUGAUACCAUCGUCCCCACAUCAACAAACUGCAAAUAUGAAAAGGGGUGGCGAAAUGAAUUAGCUUCUAGGAAACGGUUUAGAACGGUUUAGACCGCUGACAAAUCUUGGAAGUGGAGGUUCCCUAAUGUAAUCGUAUACAUUUUAAAACCCGUGUGCGUGAGUCCGGUUAUGGCCCGCGUUGUAAGCAAACUACUAUUUUUUCCUCUUAAUUGAAUGAUACGUGGCUCUCCUACGUAUUCUAGAAAAAAAAGAUAUAAGUAAGACGUGUGUCAACCUGUGUAUAGCAAUCUAUGGCUGCCUUGAAAUCUUUAUCACGGAAAGCAAAGUCCCCACGCUUCCUAGCUUCCAACAUGUCCCUCAUCUGCUGUGUCCAUUCCUGGAAUGAUAGCUGCAAUAAACGUACCACUUUCUUAGAAUUAUUACCCUGUAGAUACGUCAGCAGACAGCAACAGAAAAGCUAUGAUGUUUACCUCAUUAGUCCCUUCAUCAUCCCUGUAAUGUGUAUUCACUAGAAUCUGGUGGAUAGCCGUCAAAUCCAUCCUAGAACAGGCUUCACCCAUGGGAGAAAGAGGGUGCUGUGGCUGCGGAGCAGGAGUUGGAGGCACUUCUUCUUCAUACUUUGGAAUGCCAAGCAUCUCAUAGGAUGGUACCUGUUUGCAAUUUGCAAUGGAAAUGUAGCAGCCGUAAGAAAAGCACAAAAUUGCCUUGUUACCAUAAGAUAACAGUUGCGUGGAAGCCAUGAAUGAAUCAAAUCACAAUAAAGCAAACAAUCAAUGGUAGAGCACAUAGGCUGCAUGGUUAUAUAAAGCUUUUUUUAGAGGAUAAAAAAUAUAACGGUUACCUCUGAUUUUAUUUGCAAGGGCUCGAGAACAGAAACCAGCUUCUUAGUGUUGGGGCGAUCCCUAGGUUCAUACUGUAAGCACUGAGAAGCAAGAUCGACCAAUGUGGUCGCUUCUUCUGUUGAGUAGUUUCCCUCCAAAUGUGAAUCCAUCAGUACUUGGAUAUUGUUGCCUUUUAUCAUAUCAAGAGCCUGAGUGAAAUAAAGCUAAUUUUCAAUGAUAACCUAACGACUUUGUUACCAAGUUAUGUCCGAAAGGAAAAUAUGUUCUCCCACAGAUGCUCAGUAUCGCACACUUGGUGGCAGUUGCAAAAAGGAGAUAUGCACAGAAUAGUAUUGAAUACAGAGGUAUUUUUCAGAAAGGGGGUCAGUAAGGAUCAAAUGCAACAAGGAAAUCAAUAGUAUUAACGAUAAAAACUUACACGGGAAGGAGGUAUACGCUUUCCACUGAGGAGGUCCAGAAGUAUAGUGCCAAAACUGUAUAUGACACUUUCUGAUGUAACUCUUCCUAAAGAAGCAACGGUUACCACAACAAAAGAAAUGUUAGAAAUAUACAUCCAGAAUGAUUUCACUUCAUAUUUGCUAUUUCAAGACUAUAUCCUGUGAACUUUGAUCCUUAAUCAAUCACCUCACGUGUUUUCAGUCGACUACCUAUAAGUGCUUACAUAAAGCAUUCAGCAAGUCAACAAGAUGGAUUAUUUCAUCUUGAGGGGCGAAAUAACCCAACUUUUCCACUAUUUUGAGUAGCAUUUUGCAGUGUUCCAUACUUCCAUUAAUUGAUCCAAUCGGUAUGAAAGUUUUAGCCAUUCUAUUGUCAGUACUAACCAUCUACAUGUAUAUCAUUUCUAAAUACCCUAACUAAGCAACCCAAAGAAGAAAUUUUUGGUCGUAAAUACAAAUACAAUCAUAUUACCAUUCCUUAAAUAUUCUGGAGGAGUGUAUGCAAGAUUCGUACUAUAGCUUUUCCCGUCCCUGCUGUUUUUCAUCAGGCCAAAACAUGAAAGACGAGGAUCACCAUUCUGCAAAAAUAAAUUACAUUGGUUGUUUAGCCCGCAGAGGAUUACUGCAGUUAAAGAAACAUGCAACAAGCUGUGAAAUGCAAUCAACAUCAUCCAAAAAAGCAUAGCAUAACCAAUAAUAUUCCUAACCAUUUCAAAUCAAUAUACGAUGAUUUUUAUAGAACCCAUGAAAAAGAGUUGACAUUUCGAUUUUGAUAUGUAUUUCCUUCCAACCACUAGAGGUGGAGUACAGGUGGCAACAGACCACUCCCACUUCCAAUGUCAGAUGAAGCAGAGAAAGCAUCCAUGCAGAGGGUAAAAGCUCAAUGGAAUCCUAAGGUACCCUUCCCAGAAGAACAAACCAAUACUUGCAGCAGCAGCAGAGAUAUUUACAAACAAAAAAAAAAAGAAAAGAAGAACUCAUUUACUCAGCUUCAUGAUAUUGUAGUAGAUUGGUAAUUUUCAAAAAACAAUUCUAGGGCUGUAGGAUAAAUAAAAGGGGUAAGAAUUAGUUACCUCAUCAAAGAGAACCCUGUAUGCAUUUAGGUCAUGAUACAAAGGCCUUCCCUCAGUGCUGCAAUACUCCAGUGCUUCAGCGAUGUAGUUUGCAACUCUUAGACGCAUAGCCCAUUCAAUUGUCUGGUUUUCCCCUGAAAAAGAGUAAAAUAAAUAUCAGGUAAUGAACUGACGCACAGUGAUGUACAGUUAACUUGUCCAAAAUCAUCUUCCCAUGAAAAGGUGAAUGCAAUCAAGAUUAACAAAAGAGGCGAUUACAUGCCGGCCUCAAUGUUUUGUUUCUAAAGAAACCCAUCAUCAUUUGCAAGUUGAAACCAUUACCAAUAACACCCAAACCUUGCCCAUACACCCUGGGAACAGGCUGUUCAUAAAGCACAAACCCCACGGAUCCAAACAUCUAGUUAAUGCAUCAACUUAUUAAUUUCAAAUACGCAUUGCAGAGCACAAUAUCACUUGCAUUCAUAAUUCCUAAAUUUUACUGUGACAAUAUACGUCCACAAUGAAAUCCUGUAAGCUAAUUCUAGUCAUCCACCUGUCCAAAACAAUGAACAGAACAUCUGAACACAGAACAAUGAUGUAGUAAUAUUAUAUCACGUGUUUAAUGCAGCCUGUGCCCUGAUCGGUUUCAAUGGAUUCACACAACGACCAGGCCAACAACAACCAGAUAGGAAUUGGAUAUCACGACGCCUAGCCCAAUCAUUUCGUUCGGUACACCAAAUGCGGGAGGCUGCUAAGCGCCAGCAGUUGCUCAGAGCACGCCGAUUCGUCUUUUUUGCCAACUUCCACACUAAUAAUCAGGGAUCAAAUCAGACGAAGCCAAAAACUAUCGCAGGGUGUAUUUACCGAAAAUGGCCAGCGAAAUAUCCAGAACCAACCAGGAAUCCAGAAAGCGACCCAUCAGAAAUGGACCAAUGGCUAGAGGAUCGGUAGAGCAAACGUACAGUGGAAGAGGUGCUUGGCGAGCGUGUCGUUGGGCAUGAACUCGGCGACGAGCAGGCGCUCGUCCCCGUCGCAGCAGUAGCCGAUCAGGUUGGCCAUCCGGCAGUGGCGCAGCUUGCCGGCCCCCUUGGCCUCCUCCUGCGAGCAAAAGCAAAGGCGUUUCAUUGCAGCGAAUUCCACCCCGAAUCGGGGGGCGCGUACGGUAAUCGAUCCCGAGCCCGCCCCUAGACGUACCGCGAACUGCUUGGCAUCGGGCCAGGCCGCCUUGGUGAACUUCUUGACGGCGAUCGCGCGGCGGCUGUGCUCGAGGCGGCCCUUGUACACGAAAUUCGGCGCCUUCUCGCCGCUCUCGGAGACGAUGUUCUCCGCCACGAAGCCGCCCGUGGCGGCGCGCAGCUCCGCCAGCGAGAACUCCUUGAGCGGCGGCACCUCGCGGCCGGCGGCGCCGGCGCGCGCCGCGGAGGACGCCGUCGACUGGUGCUGGUUGAGCGAGAGGGAGGGGCGGUGCGGGGGGAGCGGCUCCGUCGCCCUCCCCGGCGGCUUCUUCUCCGGGUGCGUCCCCGUCCGCAGCGAGGAGCCGCAGCAGCCCAUCGGGAGUCCACUGGGUGGCUUCAGCCGCGGCCGCGUCUGCGUGGGCGCGCCUGUGGUGUGGUGUUGUGUGGGUUUGGGUUCCCCUGGCUUGCCUGCCGAGUAGCGGAGCAGGGGAAGAGGAGAAAGAGGAGGUGGUGGUUUUGUUCUGGCUUUGGGGUUGGUUGCCUCUGCCUUUGUAUGGGGUGUCGUCCCCUUUUUCGCUGCCGCGGUAAGCCGCCGUGCGUGCGCGCGCCGGGUGCGUCGCUGUCCUGGCCUACCUACGAGGACGAUCUUACUCUUGAGCCUUGACAAAGUUUCAACUCUCAAUUCAUGGCUUAACAAAUAAUGAUAACAGCGUUAAUAGUAAAUGAAAAAAAUUGUGUUGUGGAAGUGGCGCACAAUUUGAAACUUGGAACGAAGAGAUUUGGCAAGCGUUACAAUGCCGUUGGAUUGGAUUACGCUAUCCAAUUUACAUGGCGUGUGGCAUCAUAGAUAGCGUAAAAGUGUCCCGUAAAAGUGUAACGGUGGACAUCCGUUACUUAAAAUAACGAACAACGCUGUUGAUAGUAACGGAGAAAAUUACGAUGCGAGCGUUACCGCACGCGUGCCAUAUAAUACUAAAAUCCAAAUUCAUGUGAUCUAACAGCAGGUUAGGUCACGUGCAAAGUUACGUUAUCCAAAUUAUGUUCGAUGUUGUGCGGCUUAUGUAUAACCUAAAUUGUAACAUUUUAAUGUCGUUAAAACCAACUAGAAACAACAUUAAUAGUAACGGAGAAAACUUAUGUCAGCGCAUCUGCAUACAUACCGUGCAAUAACCGACCUAAAUCGUGCCAUGUGGCAUCACUAUAGCGCCAAUAGAUUUGAUCACGUAAAGCGCCACGUCCUACAUUUGGUAGAUGUUAUGCAGUUUAAACUGUAACUUGUAACUUUCCAUGUAGGUUGUUCGAAAUGCUCUCGACCUUGCUUUUAAAAGGUUCUCAACUUUUUUUCUUUUUCCCUUCCUCCAGCGCUUGAAAUCUUGGAGCCGUGUUGGCAUCAAUUAGAGACGCCGCUUACAUUCGGAAAGAAAACAUUCAACUCUGGUCGGUGUACUAGUUUGCAAGGAUGACAAAGUUUCCCAUUUGAGUGUAUUUUUAGGGGAUUUUCCAUUUGUGUUUUGAGUAGGAGUAGUUAUAGUAGUACUCUGCUGUGAGCAUGCUUGCUCGCGCCCUGCUGGAGUCAACGGCUGUCUUCGGUGGUUUUCGUACUCGCACCGAUUGAUGGGUUCGGAAGCAAACAAGGCACGGCCGUACGUAGGUUGGGACGGAUAGGGAACGAGCCGAGCGCGCCACGCAAAUCUGUCUGCCCGGAUUACGCGUCAGGCGCCGGAGCCAGCCAGCCAUCCCUCCCGUCCCGGGCUGGCUGGAUGCCGUGGGCCGCGCGUCUCCACCUGCAGCGCCCCGCGCAUCCGGCGACCGUGUCGCCGCCGUGCCAGGUCUCCGCGCAACUUUCUGGCCACCCCGCGCUGCCCGCUAGCGUAAACCCGGCACGAAACGGACGUCCGUUCGGCAACGGGCGCCGCGGCAGUUUUAGCAGAGGAGACGGGACGGGGCAACCGUAAACCUUUUCUCCGGGUCAGAGGAACGGUUACUGUGGGUUUUGCAACUGAGAUGCAUAAACGAAGCAGUUGAUAAAAAUCUGCUAAGAAAAGGCUUCAGUUUGCCCUUUUUCUCUGCUACGGUAUGAUUGAGUGAAAUGUUUAGGGGAUGUUUGAUCCUUGACCUAGAGUUUAGCCAGGUGACACGAAUGUCUAGAUGCUAAUUAGAAAUAUUAAACAUAGGCUAAUAAUAAAAAUAAUUGCAUAAAUGAGGGCGAAUUCACGAGACGAAUCUAUUAUGCUUAAUUAAUUCAUAAUUAGCACAUGUUUACUGUAGCAUCACAUGUGCUAAUCAUGGACUAAUUAGACUUAAUGGAUUCAUCUUGCAAAUUAGCUCUCAUUUAUGCAAUUAUUUUUAUCAUUAGCCUAUGUUUAAUACUUCUAAUUAGCAUCUAAACAUCCAAUGUGACCCGAGCUAAAUUUUAGUCUAAGGAUCCAAACACCCAAAUAGGAGUUAAAAGUGAUACGUUUAGCUCUUUUUUCCGGGUCAGAGGAACACUGUUACUGCAGGUUUUGCAACUGAACGGCAUAAACGAAGCACUUAGUUGCUAGAAUGGCGUAAAAACCUACUACUGGUAAAGCUUGAAUGGCUGUAAAUAGUUGCUAGAACCGAAGAGUAUUUGCCUGACCGAAAUGUUUAGCAGGAGCGGGUAGUGAAAAUUUUUGUAGGAUUUUACACAGUUACUUUUUUUUCUGCAUUUUGUAAACUAAAAAUAGUACAAUAGUAAAUUAAAGAACCGUUCAAAUCACAAAGAUGGAUGGAUCCAAGGAAGGAGUCUGAACAGCAAAGCAGCUCUCGAGUCUUCAAAACCCUGACCCCAGGAUAUGAAAACACCUGCAUUUGAAAGAGACUUUCAUUUUUGAAUUCCACGAUUCACACGCACAAGGACACAGUUCAUUUGUUUAUAAUGUACUAAAGCUAUUCUACGAUCCCCAGGAAUAACGGCGAUUUGUUUAACGAGUCAGCUGCAUGAUCGGAACACUUCAAGUCUCCCGGGUGACCUCGCUUGACCUGCUGACCAGGUCAGGUCGGUCACCGGUCUUGAGCUCCUACGGCAACGGCAACGGCAACGGAUCCACCGGCUUUCAGUUUGAACCCUUGUGUACGAAGACCAAAAGGCAAGCCGUUACCAGGUUCCGCGUUUCGGUUCCCACACUGUCGCGGGUAACUCAUAAACUGAACAGUGGAUUGCGCUGGCACAAAUCUAAAGCAAGCUAAGACCCGUUUCUUUCAGUUUCGGACCUUCUAGGUAACUUUCGCGAAGCAAUUCGAAGCACACCUGAUGGUCACCGCUACUAAGUCGCCUCCUGUCUCCGACGUCUUCCGCUACGAGAAAAGUUGGGCGCUCGACCCCGAGUUCCAACGGCUUGUGGCGGGCAUCUGGGCCCACCCCCAGAAUCAACGAGGGAGCAUCUACGAUCGCGUCUGCCGCAGCCUCAAGUGAACGCGCGCCACGUACAAGAAGUAGGCGCGCAGCCGGCAGCCGUCAUGGUGGCUUGCCGCGCGGUUCUCGAGCUCCUGGACCUCCUGGAAGAGCGUCGUCCCCUCAUCGCCGCCGAAGCCCUUGUGCGCUCCCUGGUCAAGGCGCGCCUUGCACGUGCUGUCCACGAGCACAACCUCUGCUGGCACCACCGCUAUAGCAUCAAGGCGUGUAAACUCGGUGACUAAAACACCGCGUUCUACCACGCCUCUGCCUCCGCGCAACUCCGCAGCAACAAGAUUCAAGUGUUGCACGACGACGGUGUCCCCGUCUCCUCCCACGCCGGCAAGGAGCGCGCUCUGCACCGGUACUACUUGGACCUGCUCGGUGACGCCGUCCCCAUCACCUUCCCCGACGGUGCUGGGCGGAUUCUCCCUUCCGUGUCGCACCUUGACGCCCUGGAGGCUCCGUUCACCCCCUCCGAGGCCAAGACGGCGCUCUAGCAAAUGCGCACCGCCAGCAGCCCUGGCCCCGACAGCUUCGGCCUCGCCUUCUUCCGCUAGUUCUAGCCGACCAUGGGUGACACAGUGCUGGCAUGGCUCUCCUUCUUCCACGACGGCAUAGUGGACCUGGCGCGCGUCAACCAAGCUCACGUUGUGCUCCUGCCUAAGAAGCAUAGGGGUCGUCACCGCCAACGGCUUCCGACAGAUUAGCCUGCAGAAUUAUGUGCCGAAGCUCACCGCCAAGAUCCUCACCAACCACUUGCAAAGCGUAGUCCCCGCGCUCAUCUCCGACUACCAGAUAGGCUUCGUCAUGGGGCGCUCCAUCACGGACAACUUCCUGCUCGCCACGGAACUUGUCUAGUGCUGCCGCGUCCAGCGUGUCCCCACCGUAGUCCUUAAGCUUGGCUUCCGCAAAGCUUUCGCUGGGAAGUUCUCGACCGUGUUCUCGAGCUUCGUGGCUUUGGGGACACAUGGCGCGGCUGGAUGCGCAAUCUCCUCUCCACCAGGCGCACGGUGGUGCUCCUCAACGGGGACACCGGGCCUUGGAUUCAAUGCCGACAUGGCUUGUGGCAAGGUGAUCCUCUCAGCCCCUACCUCUUCAUCAUCGUCACCGAUCUCCUACACAGGAUGCUCGUUGACCCUUGUGGUGACGAGCCCCUCCUUCACCCUCUCAUCGACGACCUCCCCUGUCCAAAGAUCCAAUAUGCUGACGACACCCUCAUUCUGGUCCGGGCAGAGGAGGGGCAGGUGCGCCGUCUCAAACAGUUGUGCGACUCCUUAGCCACCGCCACGGGACUCGCCAUCAACUACCACAAGAGCAUGUUCGUCCCUGUGCACGUCACCGCCACCAGCGCCGAUGCCCUUGCUGGCAUCUUGGGCUGCCCCGUUGCUACGUUCCCCCAGAGCUACCUGAGCCUCCCCCUCUCCGACAAGAAGCUCCCCACAUCCGUGCUCGACGCCUUCGCGAUUAGGGUUGAGUGCUACAUCCCCUCCUAGCAGGUGCACAUCCUCAAUCGCGGGGGACGACUCAUGAUGGUCAACUCCAUCCUCUCCACCCAAAUCACCUAGGUCUCCACCGUGCUGCAGCUGCCCAAGUCCACGAUGGAGAAGGUGGACAAGCCACGUCGUGGAUGCUCUGGAAGGGCGUGGCCUCGUGCACCGGGGGCGACUGCCAAGUUGCCUGGCCUAUGGUGUGCCGGCUUAAGGAAGAAGGUGGCCUCGGCGUCAUUGACGUCGAGGUUCAGAACACUUGUCUCCUCCUCAAGACGGUGGACAAGCUCCAGCAGGGCAGCGACAACCCCUGGUGAACUGGGUUCGGUUCUGGUACACGCCGGAACGCGCGUCGCGCCCCACGCCCUGCUGGCAGACAUUCCAGCAUCUGUUGCCCAUGUACAGGGACAUCACCACCGUCGUCCUCAGCAGCGGCACGAUGACCUCCUUCUGGAUCGACAAUUGGACCUCGCUUGGCCUCCUCGAUCGAGCUUUACCGGCCUUGUUCUCCAACUGCCUCGAGCCCUGCAUUACGAUCGCCGCCGCCUUCGCCACCAGGGCCCUCGUCUUGCCGUUGUGGGAGCGCCUCUCUCACGCAGCCAGUGACGAGCUCGCGACCCUCGUCUCUCGGCUGAGCGGCCUGCACCUUGGUGCCGCCCCUGACACCCGCCGCCUGGCUUAGAGGGAUGAGAUCGACGUGCGCUCAGGCGCCCUCUACUCCAUGUUGAAGCGGACGGGCUACACGGUGUCGCACUCCGACGUCAACUAGGGGAACUUCGCCCCAAUCAAGGUCUAGGUCUUUUUUUGGAUCUUCCGAUAGGGGAACACGCACAUGCGGAACUUUCUCCACUGCCGAGGCGCCACGGGCAGCCCCAUUUGCCCCUUCUGCACCGCUGACAAGGACGCCGCCCACAUCUUCUUCACUUGUCCACGCAUCACCAGCUUCUGGAGCUCGGCGUGCCCUCACGCCUCCGUCACCUGCCUCGCCAGCGCGCUUCAAGCUCUACCGCUCCCAGCGAGGGUGGCCCUCCACACCGCGACGCUGCUCCUCUUGUGAUUGAUUUGGAAUCGCCGCAACAGGAUGAUCUUCGACGCAGUCGACCAGCCCAUCGCUGCCAUCGCCCAAGCCGCCAAGGAACACCUCACCCUCUGGGUGCAUCGCGCUCCCCGCCGCCUAGACACCCUCCCGGAAGUCCUGGUGCUCUAGUCUCUAUGUGAUAUAGCGCCUAUGCUGCUUCAUCUCCCUCCUUCUACAAAAACAUCAACCCCCCCCCCCCCCCCCCAAGCUAGGUUGUAAAAUGGAAAUCCAUCAGCUUCGGCCAGACGUUCAGGUGGGCGUGCUCUGCCCCAGUUGGUCCUUCAAAAAAAAUUCGAAGCACAUCACACUACUCCUAUUCUUUUCUCUUUUUCUGCCUUGCAGGCCAGUGCUCAAAACGCCAGUCCUAUUCCGGUCACACGCUGAUCGGCCGGUUGCUAAACAAUGGUGCUGGCUGUUCUCCACUGGCAAGUACAACGGGUACGAGCACCAUCCACCGAUGCAGGACAAGUCGGCCCAAUUUUCAAUGCGAGCAGCUGAUCUGGCUCGCACACGGACAACUUACGCCACCAUGCCGCCGUGUUACGUACUCCCCCACCUCAACCCAGGAGGCCACUAGCAGUGGCUACUAUACGGACGCGUUUAUUUUAGCGAGGAUUAGGCAGGCAGGAGCAGCCUUUGUUACUGCCAGGCUGCCCUAGCCUUUGCUCUGCCUGCUGCUAUCACUGCUAGCGCCCAGUUGCCCAGAGGCCAGAGUGGUACUCGUAGCACGCACGAACUCCAUUAACAAUUCAGCAUCGGCUGCGCCGCCAGCUAGCCGUCCUGGCCGGCGAUCUCCUCCGUCUACUGUCCUGGACUCCUGGUGCGUGCGUGCCCUAGACCUAGAGCCACCAAAAGGUUUCCUCGAACAGAUUGAUGAAUUCCAGUGCCAGUGCUCACGUGCACUGACAGCCACGGUUGAGGUUAAACAAGUCUGAGGUGGCGGAAGAUUAGAGCAGGGUUGCCACAGAUGGUUGGAUGGGUUCCAAGUGGCUUCAUAGUUUAGUGUAGCUACUAAGUUCGCUGCCAUAGCAGUAACUACAAGCUGGGUGCUUGACUGCUUGAUUGGGGAUUAUUCAGACUCUCACAGCCGUUCGUGAUAGGCUAGUGUGAUAGGGGAAUACAUGUGAUUUUCUUUAAUUAGGAGGCUACUUGGUUAUUAUGUAGUAUAGGUUUAGCUUGCUGCCUGUGGUAAGCCGUAGCACGUGCUUAUUCGUGGAGGGCUAUGCUUUUUUAAGGGACUACAGACAUGGUACAUGCCGUCCAAGGAGCCCUCCUCACUUACUACUUCGCCUGCUAAUCACCUCUGCUACCGGGCUAGAAAAAGGUUUAGAUCGCAUAUUGGGGGUGAGAAAUCACAGAGUGCAGCGAGAACUCGUCCAAUGUGGUUAACAGAAAAUCCCAUGUCCAGGGAGUAAGGAAUGCCCUGUCCAAUCGCGUAUUUGGGUAUCCGCUUCUACACUGUUACCGAAGAAAAAACAUCGGAUUAUUGCAAGUACUCCUAUAUCCGUCCAUGAUGUAAAAAAAGAGGCGCGUUCAUCAUCAGUUGAUGCAUGCACGGCUAGAUGUUACGCAUCUAAUUAUCCAGCUUGAGUGAUGCUCCGUGUCUUGUCUUUCAGCACGUACUGAUCUGAAUCGUGAAAAGGGAAAACCAAACGAACGUGUGAAAUACAUCUAUCGGCCACGGCAUCUUAAGAUUGAUUAGAGAAUAAUUGUUCCAACUUCCCACACAAGUGGGCGCUAGCUAACUUGCUCGGAAAGCUCCGACGAGCAUCGGUGGCAGCUGAUGUGAGGGAGAUUAAUCACUGAUGAUGAUGACUAAAUUAGUGAAGUGUGGCUCUGAAGAAAAGGAAAGUGUGUAAAGGUUAUAGUACUCCACCAUAUCAGUUAUGGUACUGGAUGCUGGACGACAAUAACAAGCUCCCUACUGGACCUAGGAGCCAUCUCUUUCUGAUGGUACGUGCCGACAUUGUAGAUAGAGUAAUCGACGGAGCUUAAUUGCGACGGCACCUGAUUCGCGCUGCACCACACGUCCAUCAAUUCAGUUUCUAGCUAGUACUAACCCCCCAUCAUCUCGACACCGGACUCUCACCAGCCUCGCGACUGGAUAACGGGGGAAGCACCCCAUCGCCAUUGCCGCCCGUGUGGAAGAGACGAGGAGUUCUGAUUUCAGUAUCCAGACGCAUCCUUUUUUUCGUCUUCUUUUUCUUGAAAUUCCACGUACGCUCUAAUAACUAGUAAAGCUUGCGUUCCCCACUGAAUCUGAAUGAUUGAUUAGUCGCUCCGAUCCCCACCAGAAAAGCACGCGGUUAGCACACCAAAUCCGAGUCAAUGAUUAAGCACGAAGGAGAGGGAGGAGAAUAUCCUCAGAUAAGAGGACAGCGACAUGUACCGAACCACACCAUCCCGAGCGCACACACCUCUGCAGGGGUUAGCUGCCUAAGCAGGUGUGUACUCCAUCUCUCUAUUCGAUGGGCUUUGCUUCGCGGGAUCAACCGAUCUCUCUUGCCUGGUUGGGUUCUGCUCGAUCGUAACUUGAUUUUCAUGGCACUAGAUGGCCCGCGCUAAUAGCACGGGUAGCUAGUUUUUUUAUACCAUCAUCUGGAUGCUUUAUUUCAAAAUAAAUAGACAUAAAUAAUUGUAUUUAGUCGUGUCAUGGUAAAAGAUCAAUAUAUUAUCAUAUGAUAAGAUCUUUUUUAACAUGAAUUAGAGAGAAAAGGUAAUACCUUAGAUAUAAACAUAUUUUUUGGGUAUUUACUGAAACAACAUAAAAAUUUAUACAUUUUUCACUUGAAUAUAAUUGUUUAUAUAUUUUUUAUUUGUGAUGUACAUUUUCGUUUGCUAUGAUUAAAAAAUCCUUAAAUUUUAGUAGAAUGUUCAAUGUAUAUACAAAAGUAAUAAUUUAAUUUCGAGUUUGACCCUUUUAGUUAUUAUUAUAUCGAAGUCUCCUUUCCUUUCUUUGUUCUUUGAUCACCGGUUGCCACAGCCCAUACAUGCAUAAUCCCAUUUUGGCACACGGUUGUUGCACCUUUUUCCUAAUUAUAAACUCUACCCUUGGGUCCGUGAAUACGUUGUUGUGGCUACCAAACUAUAUAUUAUUAGUCUUUGUGCUCACCACCUCUCUCUCUUGCUUCUACUCUGAAGGAGCGUUGUCCGCUACAUUGUGGUCACCAAAGAUUGAUCCUUGAUUGUGACUGUUGUUCCCUCCCGUCGGACAUGCUAUGGCGCGCAUGCCAAACAUCAAUUUUCUUCACUAUUUAACACGAUUAUUUUGGAAUUUCCACCUUGUGGUUGGUGUCGUGGCCCUCAAGUUGCUCCACCAGAUCAUUCACUAUGUUGCUGGAUCCAACCACUAUUUCAUCAAAUCGACAACCUUUGUCUCCUGCGAGUGCCCUAUCGCCCAAUCGCAGGCAACAAUUAUGGUAAACCGGUGAGUUUUAAGCUGGGGACGGACAAGUUGGUUGUAUUUUUUCUCAUUAGUUUAGUUACGGUUGUUAGCCUAGCCCUACUCGCCAAUGGUAGCAAAGGUCGGCAGCAAACAACAGUACACAAUUGCAUAUAUAGCUCGUGGCACUUGAAAAUAUUUAACCCGUCGUAGGGUGAUUAUUUUGCUGGUCAAGGUGAUCCUUUCUCAAUGUGGAUGCGUGUGAAUGGAGCUGGCUGAUCGUUAAUCACUACUAUAGAAAAGGUUAUCACGAAUGGGUCAUCACUGGCAGUUCUAUCCAAACUGGUGGUGAUAAGUUUUCAUGCUAGUUCAUGAGUAGCUAGCGCGUAGUGGAAUCGAUUUUCACCACCGGUUCAUGGUAUAACCCGUCCGUGACCCAUAGCCCUUCUAUAUCAUAUCAACAUCCAUCCCCUUCUCUUCUCCCCUUCCUCCCUUUUACCUUCGAAUGCGCACCUCUCCCUCCCCACCUCUGAUCCCCCACGCAAAUAGCGCAGGUAGCUAGUUUUUAUGCCAUUAUAAAAAAAUAGAUAUAAAUAAUUGUAUUUAAUCAUGUCAUGGUAACAGACAAAUAUAUUAUCAUAUAUCUUUUUAAACAUGAAUUAGAGAGAAAAGGUAAUACCUUAGAUACAAACAUAUUUUUUGGUAUUUAUUGAAACAAUAUAAAAAUUUAUACAUUUUUCACUUGAAUAUAAUUAUUUAUAUUUUUUAUUUGUGAUGUAAGUUUUGUUUGCUAUCAUUACAAAAGUCCUUAUAUCUCCCUCCCCACGUCUCUCUCACCCCCUCCCAUCACCCCUCCGCUUGCCCCUCACUGGCAAUGAAGACCAGCGGCGAGGCACAAGGAGCGGGCAGGGAUGGUAGGCACGGGUGGCGGCAACGACGGCGGUGGGCGCGGGCAUUGGAUGCAACAACGACAGCAGAUGCGGGCCACGACUGCGGGCAUGUGCGAGGGAUGCAGCGACAACGAUGGGGACUCCGUCCCCUCACGGUACUCUCUCUCUCUCUCUCUCUCUCUCUCUCUCACUCGCUCGCUCGCUCCCCCCCCUAGCUACUGUAGUGGGUGACGGGGCUCCGGUAGCGUGGAAGGACUCUAGCGGUGCCUUUUUAUUUUUUAAUAGGCUUCACUGUCGGUUCAUGGUCCGGCGGUGAUGAAACACUACCACCACCAAUCGAAAUUCAACGGGAGGCCAAAGCGGCGAUGAUAUUGGAUUUAGGGCUGGCGGUGAUAGGCUGGUUUGGGGUAGUGGAUGGAAAUGCGUGAGGCUAGCACGGUGGGCUCAUCAUCGUGUAACCACUUAGUGAAGCUGGUCAGAUUUGUCCCAAGUGUUCUCCUCACACGUCCCAAUGGUUACGGUGGCCGUCUCACUAUCAUUGGUGCCGGCAUGGCCCUCUUUCUUGGUGAUUUUGUCGUCAUGAUCCUUCUUAUGUUUUCUCCUUCUAAUCUAUCGCCUGCACUAUGGCUUUGCUAUCUUGCACAAAGCUGCACUUUUGAGCCUGUUAUGUUGCACAAAGCUGCCUGUGUUUGUAAUGCAAUCUGCUCCUGCCUGCGUCCGCACUUCUGUUGUCGGGUGUCCGAUUUACGCACUUUGCGUCUCACUACUGUUCUGUCUCGUGGCCUUGACACGCCAACUGAAGUCCAACGAAAUGCUAAAUUUGGUCUCCUUUCAAAACUACACGAAAUUAAAUUGGAUGAGUUUUGGUCACAUCACAAAGAUACAUACUUUAAUUGAGAAAAGACCAAUUUCCAAACACUUUUUUAUGUCCCAUGCUAUAUCUUAUCAUCAUGGAGUUCGUGGAAGAUUCAAACAUGUUUUAUUUCCAUCCCAUACAAUAUUUUUUACAAAAAAUCUUAUUUUAGUUUCCAAAAUUACAUAAUUAUUGAUGCAUUGAUUUGAACUCUUUGAUUGAAUUAGUCUAGAUCAUAAUAAAUUCUAACGGUGUAUUUUUUUCCUUAACAUCCCUUUUCUCUCUCCUUGAUUUCAAUCGUUCAGUCAAAACGGGUCGGAAUCCGGAAUCAUUUUCCCUAUAUAUCACCUCUCCUACCCCUGCGUGCUGCAAGCAAAGCAAAGCAAGCCAAUGAUAGUGAAUAAAUAUGGAACCAACUUUCGUUCGCUCUUUUAAUAAAUAUAUGUAAGAUGAGCAAAGUUGGAUUAUCUUGCUGCCAUCAUCGAGCUCUUGCAUGAAACUAUCCAUCAUUACUAUCGAUCUCAUGGAUGAAACCAUCCGCUGAUGCUAUCAAGUUUGUAUCAAGUUUGUGUAUAUGAAAUCAUAUUACAUUGCUCCCGCUGUGCUCGUGGUGAGGGGCUCAAUCCCUAUGGCAAGAGCAUUAAUUCUGACAACAAUUUGCAUGUCCAAGGUGGUUGAAUUUUUACCAAAGCAUGUACCACGCCGACUAUAUCUUAGUAGCACCUUUAGAUAAAAUUCAAUCUCUUAUUUUAUCUCGACCUUAUCGAAGAAAAAUUAUGGGGAUCGAAAUAGGUUUUUUUAUAGUUCAAACGUUGAUUUUCUUCUUGAUUCCUCGACUGAGAAGAUCUUUCUUCCUGUCGCCGUAUCUAUUAUAAUAGUUUAUAUUUUUCAGUUUAGAUUUCUUUUCAUCUAUGGAGAUAUUAGAAUUUGCUCUAAUUGACAUUUUGGAUACGUGACAGUGAAUCUUAUAGUAAGGUGGUCCGCGCUAAUUAGUGCAGCUAGUUAGAUUUUUUGUUCUUAUUUCUUAAUUUUUUUUACAUGUAACAAUGUUCAGUCCGGCGGCCGGGUCCGGCCGCCGGGUGAUGCACUGCUGGUCCAAGGCACCGUUGCACGGGGUUAGGGGACCUCACCGCUCGAGGGUGCAGUGGGCUCGCACGGUGCCGCCUGUCCUUGAUCAUGAACAGCGAAGCGAAGCUAUAAAGGGAAGCGGCAGUCGUCGUGACGAUGUACGGAUGCACCGGCAGCGAAGCGAUCUGCUCUCGCUCGUCGUCGGUGGAAGCCGCGGCAACAAAUUUUCUCCCUUGGCCAAUUGCUAGUUACCACCCGUGGUCACAGGGUACCAAAUCAGCUUAUCAGCCUGGAAGGAAAGAAAGGAGCAGAGCACGCAGGCAUAGAUGGAAGGAUUAGCGAGAUUAGGGGAGGGUGACGGGCAACAGGCAACGUGAACAAAAAAAAACGACGGACAUGGCAAUAGGAGUCCACAGUCCUAUUGCCAUAUUGAUAUAUUUCUUUUAAAUUUCUAAUUCAGCUAUUUAGUAAUUGUAUUUUGUAUGGAACCUUUAAAUUAAUAUAGAUCGUUAGAUUUUCAAAAAAUUCAAUGGUGUAUAUUCAAAUUCAGUUGUUUAGUAAUUGUACUUUGUAUGAACCUUUAGAUUAAUAUAGACCGUUAGAUCAUCAUAAAAUGCAACGACUUAUAUUCUUCUCUUUUUCAGAUUAACGUGGGAAUUCCUAGACCCUCUCGAUGAACGUAGUGACUUCUUUAAAUACUAUUGUAUUAAGAUGUGGCCCGCGCUAAUAGCGCGGCUAGAUUCAUUACAUACUUAGUAAUAUAACUAUGUCUAUUACACUGUUGACUUUGAAGUAACCGCUUUGAUGCUAUAAAGAAGUGACACCUUCUAUGUCACGGCUUUUCUCCUUAACUUGUUGAGCUCAUCAAGUUUAUGUAGGAUUCUUCAUACUCAAUCAUAUUGGAUGACCAUUCAGCUUACCAAAUUAUCCUUCACUAAAAAUAUAAAUAUAUUAGUUUAUAAAUAGAGGUUGGCAUUUCACCACUCUCAAAAUGAUCCCGACCUAAUUUAUAAUUAACUUAGGUCCAUUAAAAAUUUAAAACUAACAUUGUAAUUAAACUGUAAUUGAAAAGUUAUUAAUUCAAAGAUUUUUCAUUUCACCUCUAAUGAUUUCCUAACUCAAAUCAACCUAACAUAAUAAUUGCAUAACCUCUUUUGCUUAGUUGAUUAGUAAGGACAUUUGUAUGUUGCAUACUCCCUCCGUCCCGUCGUUAUGGCUUUUCUAGAAACAUAGAUUUUGCUAUGCACCUAAAUACAGUAUAUGUCUAGAUGCAUACAAACAUCUAUGAAUCUAGAAAAACUAAAACAACCUACAAUUUAAAAUGGAGGGAGUACCUAUUCCAGCUUAUAUGUCAUGAGUGCUAGUCUUUUGUAGUUGCUGUAGGUUGCAGACAUGCCCUAUGUUUUCCGGCAUGCUGCCUCUUGCCCUGUAUUUGGUAGGUGCUGUAGCUUAUCUAUCCCUCCCUCCCUACCUCUCUCUCUAGCUUUUGCUGUGUAUUUGAUCGUCAAACUUUUAACUUGAGGUUAAUUCCGUGCUUAAAUCACUCAAAUUUCUGUACCCAGCAAUUAAUAGAGACGGGGUCACUUGUGGCUCCCACGCUACUUAUUUAGGCUGCACAAACCAUCCUAUCUUGCUUGUUAACGCAAGACGUCAUCGACUCCUCGCGCUAUCCAUCGUGGCUUGAAUAUUUUCACCUUUACAUGAACAAAAAUACUCACCAAACCGAAGCUCUAAUAGAUGUAUAUCUUGCAUUAUCUGUAGUAAGCACACAAAAGCCAUUUAUGUUCUCGCGUGACCUGCCAUGGCACACUUAUACAUGGUGUCUCCGAUCAUACAAAAGUAACUGGCAUCCUAAGUAAAUUUCCAUAUGGCGUGCUCCUAUAUGGCUCUUCAAGCCAUUUUAUUGUCAUAUCUUGUCAUAGGCAUGAUGUCAAAGUUUCCCUCUUCUUCAAACUCGACCGGGCAUAAUAGUAUUUUGUUUUGCUUUGUUUCCACCGGGCAUGCUCGCUUUUCAUCUCAGAGUAAUAGCCGGUGGUGACUAAUCCUGCCACAUGCAGCUAUGGGCAGGCACCUGGCAGCCCCCGUUGUGGGCACUGGGCAGUCCGUUUUUCCACCUGGCAGCCCCAUCCUGCCGGUACCAACUUUUCCGUCGUUGUCCAUCCUCAUGCCCCACAAACUUCUCCCAAAACAAAGUUCUUCGUCGCCGAAUUGAUCUGCAUGACCCUGAUCAAAUUUCUCCUCGCAGGGUUGAGCUCCUCGAUGUUCAAUUGAGUUCCUCAUCUCAGAUUUAGAUCAACGACUAAUCAAUGUUUCAUGACAAUAGAAUGAGCUGCUUUUGCAAAUUGAACUCCCCCCCCCCCCCCCCACACACACACCCUCCCUCUCCCUCCGUCCCUCAUGCGCCCGGUGUUUCUUCAUUAUUCCAUCAAGUUCAUCCAACGAUUUGUGGCAUGUUGUGUGCUCGCAGCGACAAAUGGUUAUUUGAUAUUGCUAGGGCUAUUGUACGCUGCUAGGACAGCAUGUAUGCUAAAACCGAAGACAUAUAACUUCCAUAGAAACAACAAAAUAUUGUGCGAUCUAUUUUUAGUCCUCAAUAGUCCUAAUAAUGAUAUUACGAUUGGUCUGCACCGUUAUAACUUGGGUGAGCCUAACUCAGCUGGUAAGGUUCCUUGUGGUGGAAUCUUCCCACCAGAGUUUGAGUCAUCACCUCAACAUCGUUGCUAGUAUUUUUUUGGAUUUAUUCUAAAAUUUAAUUGGUGCUAUUCUCUCAGUGGCAAAUGACAUGCCCAUCAAUAGCGAGGUGCUAGUUGUGCUUCAUCAAUCUCGAGAAUCUGCUAGCUCAUUCUCUCAGAGGUGCUCAUAGGUAGGGUUGCAUGCGUGUAUUCAUAGGAUCGAGUGUGCGUGCGUUUGUGAGCGUCUGCGUCUAUACCGUGUUUUAAAAAAAAACAAUCAGUUGGCAUUUUUUUGAUUUAGAUAUUCGUAAUUGCAUUUCAUGUGAAUCAUUUAUUUAGGUACUAUUUUUUUUGCACGGAGAUUAAACUACUAAUUUGCAUAAUCUUUCAUUUGAAUUGUAUUAGGCACGGUCUCUCUAAUUUAAUAUAGACCAUUAGAUUAGGUUCUUUCGUUUUUUUAUUAACGUGAUAAUUUUUGUGUCCUCUUGAUGAAUGUGUAGCUUUUUUUAAUACUUUUUAUUAAGAUAGCUUAUUUUCAUAAAUCUAGCAAAAGUAGUGCUACUAAUUUGACCGUAUUUAAUCCAUAUGGACACCAAAACAUUCGGUAAUUAGUACAAACCAUUGCCGCCCUUCCUUUCACACAUAAACACACAAAGAAAAAAGAAAAAAAUGGAAAAGAGAAACGCAAUGCAAUCAGGUUGAGUAGCAUUGAACGGAUCUGUGUGUAUCAUCAUUUGAUGAAAUGCCUAAUUAGUAUUUUAGCAGGAGAGCUAAUAAAUAUUCAUCAUGUGAAGCUUUGUAAUUUAUUAAUUAUAUUUGUUAUCGACUAUUUAUUUAACUAUUUUACUUUUCCAAUCCGUGUAAACAUGAACUGCUAAAUUCCUUAUUUUUUAAUUUUUAAUUCCGAAUUUGUGUAUUUAUUAAUUGUGUGUGUAUUGGACAUAUACUCUUUAGGCUAGUCUAGAUCGUUAGAUCUUCGUAAAAUCCAACUGUGCAUAUUCUUCUCUUUUUUAAUUGAUGUGGUAAUUUUUAGUCCCUUUCGAUAAAUAUGGUGGUUUCUUUUAAUACAACGGAUAGAUGGACAGCAUGAGACUGGGACUGAUAACCUGACCUUCUCAUCGGAAACAAUUCGAAAACCCGACGACUUUGGCCAAACAAACGGCAACCAGUAGCCUCACCUACCGUUUGUCGUUUGCGACGGAGCUCGACGUAGCUUUGCCUUUGAUUCGCCGGCCAAUAGCUCGACGGGAUGGGACGGGACGGGCAGGUGCCAUUCCGGAAAGCGGAAAAGGGUUGCGGCUCGGCUUCAGGUGCUCGUCUACGCGGGAUUCGCUGACAACGCCCAGCCGCCACGCCACGCUCUCUCUUUCUUUUCUUUUCUUUCCCCCCACCAUCAGGCAUCGGCGAGCGCGUUGCUCUCGAUGCGCUGCGCUCCUCGGCUCGACACGUUCCCGCGGCUGGCGCCCGACGGCAUCGGCUCCGGCGCUGGCGCGGCGGAACGAGUGUUCUGCUCAUCGGCGCCCAAAGGCAAAGGGUGAACAGAACUGGGGUGCCAGAGCCUGGCCUGGCCACCGGCGGCCGGACGUACGGGCUGCGAGGACUGCAGGAAGGAAGCAGUGCUCCUUGGGCUUGGGCGCACGGUUAAUAACUCUCGGAUGUGACGGGUGACCACAGCAGCACGGUUAAUAACUAUCGGAUGUGACGGGUGCUGCACAGUACUGCUGUCCUCUCUCCCUCUCUCGUCGUGCACCCUCGUGUUCGAUUCUAUUCGGCCCACUGACAACUUCGGGCUUUGCUCCUCAUCAUAUACUCCUACGUGUGUGGUACUGCUACCAUUUGAGGCCCAAAUACGUCGAGUUGACUGUCGAGGCGCCAGGACGUUUCACAAAUCCGCUACCACAUCACAAAUUACAAAGGAGAAUCCUAGUAUCCAAACACAGGUAUAAUGACUACUGAUUGAACUAUAUUUCCAGCAAAAAAAAUGUUGGUUUCUGUUUUAUCCGGAUCCUCAAUGGUACGAUGGAGCAACGCUGACGGGAUCAUGCAGCCCAAAAGUCCAGUACUUGGCUGCUGUCCUGGUCUGAUGCAUUAUUCACCGACAACUGUACGUGCCGCACCAUCAUCCACCAUCGUGUUUGCGUCCCACGUCGUCAACUGGUCGUGUCAUGUGUCAUAUCGAUCUCUCGUGCCUAAAACGUGACGUGAGGAAAAGAGUUUCGGUUCGGUGCGCCCCCGUCUCGUCGUCCCGUCAGGCUUGUGUGAUCGCAGGCCCCAUAUGGUUUGGUUGGGGAUGGAGUUUUCGGCCCAGAGAAGCAAAAGCGCGAACGAACACCUACGACAAGUGAUUUUGGGCCGUGUCGGCUCGCGGUAGCGAAUUUGAGAAUUAACAGUCUUUUCCCAUUUCUAUUGGAUGUUGUUGUUUUCCAUUUUCUGUGUUUUUUUUAGAUCAAAGAGUUUUCCAUCUGUCUUGAUGAGGACUUAUGAGCGCACCCUACAGCUAAAGGAGUACCGUUUUCUUCGGUGUUUAGCGUUUUCUGUACUAGCACAACCGAUUGAUGGAUGGGUUCAAAAGCUAAAGAUGUACGUUAGGACGUCGUGGAAGGAAACCUUUUAGCGACAUAUUACCACCACCUGUCUACUAGCCUGAGCGUUACCACUCUCGAAAACAUGUCGAACCUCUGAAUUUCAGAUGCAUGGUUGCAAAUUUAGUGCAUAUUCAGCUAAUACUAUUGCCUUUGCGUUAUCAACUCAUCGAUGAUGUCCCUAAUAGUCUAAUCUUUAUUUAUUUAUUUCAAUAUCCAAUAUAUUAGUCACACUGAAAUUCAAAAAAAAAAAGGAAAACAAAGAUCGUCUUAAACAUGGCCAAGGCGCUAAACGUCAAACGAGAGCAUUGUUAGACACCUGCCCAACGCAACUCGUUAACUCCUUGACUAAAAAUCCAUGUUAUGCCGGACCGGCAUAACGACCCACGCGAUUUAACAAAGAUCCAUUUCGUAAUUGAAAAUGCCUGUGAAUAAAAAGAAGAGAUUGCACAUGCUCAACAAUGACAGUCUUUAGUGCACAGUAUUAGAAUUAGAAUCAGGGUCAAAAUAACCAAUAAGACUAACAACAAACUAUCUAAACUUUAGCCCCGUUGAUUUGCAUAUACUCCAUUCGUUCCAAAUUGUAGGUUAUUUUGAUAUUUCUAUGUACAUUUUUUUUCUAUGUAUCUAAAUAUAGUCCAUAUCUAGAUGCAUAAUAAUGUCUAUAAAACUAGAAAAGUUAAAAUGACCUACAAUUUGAAACGGGAGAAGUACCGAACGGUGAAGCAUAUAAUACAUCCUGACGUGUAUAUGAAUUUGAGCCGAUACCCAAGUACCCAACACUGAAGCAUAAAGCAUGUUUGUGGUUGUAUAGUACUUACUGCUAGUACAUCGCAAGCAGGCCAAGAGUUCGCAAGCAAAAUAGCCGUAUGGCUGUAUAUAUGAAUUUUACAAGAUUUUUUUUAUAAACAGAAGAAUUCUACAUUAAGUUUCUAAUUCAUUUCUCCUCAAUUUUUUUCCUAAUUCAUAAAAAUGUUUCGUGACCUUUUCAAGAUAAGAUUGCAGUUACGAACAAAAAGAUUUUACGAAGAGCAGAUUCCCGCUACUUACAUUUUCAUUCCAUUUCAGAACGUAAGAUUGCUAUAUACAUUUGUACACAAUCUACCGAAACGGAAUUGCUAGCAUCCUUCUAGUUUAAAAUUGAGGUCCUGAGUGCUAAUUUUGAAGGCAAUUUUCCCUCCAAAACGACCCCGGGACGACGGAUCAAAAGCACGGCGUGAGCACGUUGAGCAGCGACACCCUCGCGUUAACAAGCGCCCGGUACACCUGCUCGCAGCCGUCUUCCGCCGCCACGACGCACUCCUCCAGCCUCCGCAGGCGUUCCAUGGCAGCCUGCCUCUCCUCCUCCUCCUCGCUGCAGCACUCCUCCAAAGGCACCUCCUUUGCGCCGGGUCCGGAUUCGCUGGCGGCGACGGCCACCGUACGCCGGCGCCACCGAAGGAGGUCGGCCACCCACCACACCGGCACGGCAGCCACCUUCGCCGGGGAGACCGCGAGCGGUGACGGCAUUGCGCGCGAGGACGAGGAGGCGGAGGCGGAUGCGAGCCCGGCGAAGAUGGCGGCGGACGCUGCCGCCGCGGCGCACGUGGCGGCGGCGGCGGCCUCGGCCACCGCGGCCUCGCCGGAGUCCGACGCCGCGGCGGCGGCGGACGGGGAGCGGUGCGCGAGGCAGCGUAGCGUGGAGGCGAGGCGGGCGAGGUCGCGGUCGGAGCGGCGCCUGGCGCGGAGCGCGGCGGCGAGGCGGGCGGCGUCACGGCGGCGGAGCGCGGCGUGCGCCUCGGCGAGGAGCUGCCGGAGCGCCAGGAGCGCCUCGCGGAAGCAGCCGUGGGCGUCGGCGAGGAGGAGGAGGUCGUCGAGGAGGCGGUCGGUCCAGGGCGCCGCCGCCUUGCCCCGGCGCUGGAGCGGGUCCCGCGCCUGCGGGUGGUGAAGCAGGUCGGUGAGCCCCGCCAGGAGGCGGCCCAGGUGGCCCGCCCCGUCGCCGAUCCACGCCGGGCUGGCCUGCGCCGGCUCCUCCGUCCAGGCGAGGAGCGCGUUGGCGGACUCGUGCAGGCCCGCGACGGCCGGGUGGAAGCGGCCGGGCAGGCUGUUGGAGCGGACGCGGGAGUAGGAGAGCUUCUUGUGGCGCGUGCGCCGGAGCAAGGCCGCCUUGGGGACGGUGAGCGCGGUGAGCCGCCGCCGGAAUCCCACUGCCAUUUUGCUUUGAUUUGCUUUCCGGCUUGCUGCGGAAGGAGUCCCGGCGUCGAGGCGGUAUGGGUCGCUCGCGGUUUGACUUGGUGCCCCGGCCGUCUGGGUGGUGGUGUAUGGCAACUUGGAUGGGGGCGUUUAUAUAUAUAGGGGGUAUCGCGCAUGAUUGGUAGAGCCCGCACGGGUGGGUUGGGUUGGCUCUGGCAUGACCGCAUGAGAGCAGUGUAUGGUGCAUGGCGAAGCGAGCUAGUAGCUGACUGGCGGAGUGGGACGUUGGAUUUUUUUACUUUGGUGGGGAAGCUUACGGAAGGAAGAAGGGUGGAAGCGGGAGGGGAGCCUGCCGUUGGCCGAUGGGACAUGGGAGAGUGCCUGCCGGGACGGACGAGGAGGCCCCGUGCGCGCAGUGCAUAACAUCCCUGGAUGGCAGUGCGUGGGCGCGGGGCUGGUGGCGCCCGCCAUCUGUGGCGCGGACACGUGCUCCCAGUCGGCGGUGCCUGGGGCCCCGCGCCGCUGCUCUCCACCCUCCCCCGCUCGGCGCGCGCCGGCCCACCUCGCGCACAGCUCACGCCCGGCCCCCCGGGCAUCCCAAUUCAAUGCCGUCAUGGCCGCGCGCGUCGGCGUCGCGCCCCCGGACCCAACUCCCCCCACCGAGCUUCAUCCAUCUCUCGCCAUUCGCCCGCGCUCGUUUAAUUCUUCGAUCCCGAGCUCGACCAUCCGCGCGUGGGGGCGCCGGGCGAGGUCCGGGACGGGUGCACCGCACUGCGUCGCGUCGAGGCUGGGGCUCGUGCGAUCGGGACAUUUGGCGCCGGUUGGCACGGACGGGACAGAGCGAUCCAUCCGUCGCCCGCCGUAUCUCGCGCGUUUAAUGCGCGUCAUCCAUGUCCAUCGAUCGCUCUGGCCUCUGGACUUCUGGAGGAGGGGGGCCGUACGGCAGGAUCGGUUUCGUGCAAAUCAUUGAGGCCUGCCAGGCUGCUCGCCUGCGACGCCAUACCCUCGAUGAAUUGGACAACAAUUGGUGCUGUGGGGUUUCAUCUCAGCCUAUCGGGGCCGAAUCAUUGGCGUGGCAUGCCGCCCAUCUCUGAACCCAUCCUACAGUUCCCUUGUGCUCUUGUUCGGUUGGAUCGCGCGUCAGAUCGUUAUCACACGGGCCGCAUUAUUUGUGUGUACGCCUGGCUCCUCCCAGCGAGCAGGUCGCAACCUCGCUUAGCUGACCGUGUAUUGGCUGUUACUUGCUCCGACAGUGCAAUUCUUGUGGUUGCCCUGUCACCGUCUUUUCCUUUCAGUUGCGCCUAUUGGUUUCCAUUGCAUUUCACGUUCAGUUUACUGGCAGUCUGGCACCUAGUGCUUCCAUGGCCUUCUGCUUAUGAAUCGAAAAUCCUCUCAAACUGCAUGAGGGCGCAGAAAAGAAUCUUACCAGCGCAGCAGUGCGCCGUCAGUAGGAUGCACACAUGCUCUUUGCAGACUAGGGGCAGAUGGCCAAAUGUAUAACUGAACUCUUCAACGGCCACCUGGUAAUCUGUACUAUGGAUCAAGCAUAGUAUAACUGUAUAAGCACGCCUACAUUUUACUAACUAUAUACAAAAGCCUCCAAGAACCCUUCUUUAUGGAUUCCUAGAAGAUACUCCUCCGGAUAGGCAGCUGCUAGAUCGAUCUGCAUCGAUGCGUGGGACUAAAGAAAUCUGAAGCUCUGAGCCCCCCGUGGCCUACCAGGGACAAUCAAGGGCAUAAACAGGGGCGCGCAAUCAGAUCAGAUGCAGUGCACUGCAGAUAGUUUAAUGGAGGACAACUGUACUCCGAUUAAAGAUCGAUUAUAUCCACAAAUCGAUCCAUCUCUAAGUCCUCAACCUGUCUUCAGGUUCCCGAGUAGGGCCGGCGCGGCGUCUCCUUCGUCCUUCCCUCGACGAGGAGGAUCGGAACGAAGGGUGCUGCUUCUUCCAGCAGCGUCCGUCACUGUCACUGCAAGAGCGACAGAGUUGUGUAUAUGGCGCCAAACCAUCGGUGACACGUACGCGCUGUGGUCAAUCCGUGCGAGCUUUUUGAGAGUGACGAGGUUUACGUACGCUAAAGAGCUAGCGAUCCUCGAGUGACGAUGUGGAUGCUGUCUUCUCUAAGGACUUGGGCUUGCGCUGCUGCGCCUGGCACUUCACUAGCCAGUGCGUGUAGAAUAGGGGUUAACUGAAGAUUCAGUUCAGUUUGGAGGUGCAGUUCAGUUGAUGCAGCGGUAGCAUAUGUACAUAGGAAAAUAGAAGAUUUCCCAAUGCGAACCUAGGAGUUUGGAGGCGUAGGCCAUUUAACAACUCGGGACGGUCAACACGAAACCAAUCGUAUCCUAAUUCUCUCGUUUGCAGUGACACAAAUUUGACUCGCUCAGGCUUCGUGCAUGAACGUACUCUCAGGAACAGGAAGUACGCAAUACUCCAUAGCAGACAUGGAAAGGCUUUAAAACGAAGGUUUCAUCCAUGAAAAGUGCACGUCACUGGAGACCGAUUGAACUCCGAUGUGGAUCCCUGCUAGUUUAACGAGCCCCGUCGUCCAGCUACUGGGAGAUCGUUUGGGAUGACUGCAUGUGCCCAUUCUCUUUUGUCUCCAAUGCCACCGGCCGCCCGAUUUGGUCGGCUAACUUCAGCACGGUUGGGGAAUCUGAUUUUUUGUAUGAUGUGAGCAUGUUCAGCUCGAUCGUAGAAAAUCUAACGAUGGGUGUAAGCAUGUGAUGUGCGGCCGCUCCUAAGACUCACUCUACUAGUCUACUGUGCUGCAUUGUUUAGUAUGACGACGGCGAAUCAAAAAAAAAAUUGACAAAAAGAAGUGAUCUGCUGAAGGACAAGCGAGAAUGGAGGUUAGAAUUAGCAUGUUGAUUCUUCAAGCCGGUACCACACAUAACACAUGCAGACUAUUGCUGCGCACAAUUCAACACAUGUAGCAUGGUUGGAAUGCACGUCAUAGGGUGCGUUUGGUUUGUUGAAUUUAAUGGUUCAUGGAUAGAAUGGUGCAUUUUAGAUGGGAUCAUCCAGCACAGGAUGGUACACCCACAUGUGUUUGGUUGCUUGUAUAUAAGACGUACAGGUUCAUACAUGUUCUUGUUUGGUUGGAUGUACAAGGUUGGCCUUGGCAUAAUGAAAAGCAUAUUCUGCCACUCUCAAACUAGUUUGGCGGGUAAUGAUUUUCAAACUUUCAAUAACACCUCUCACAACCCGCCAAGACAAAUGCCAGACAAAUUUAAAACUAGCUUGACAUGUGUUCUGCCAGACAAAUGCCACCUUCACCAAUAUUGCAACUGGGAAACAAACAAACAGAUGUAAGCCUUCGCCAUAUCAAUGCUCAAUUGACUGAACUUGAUAGAAGCUAGUCUACCUGGGUGUUAGGCCCAAGCCUCCAAUCAAACCAGUACAUAUAUCACUAAUAAUGUCACCAUAAAGAUUCAGCAUCACUAAUACAUCAAAAAGACCAGGAUUCUUCACAAGCUGCAAGCAGAUGCAGUUCAUAAUCAGUUGAGUCAUUGUCAGCGCUGCUAGAACAUGUAAGAAAGAUAAUUGAUUCCAAACAGCACAAGCCUGAUGAUUCAGGCAGGCUGCCAAUAUCACGAGCGCCCCAACAAUCAACAAAACAAUGGAUACAAUCGACUGAUAGAACAUACCGUCAUACAACAAUUGCUCCUCAUAUUGAAUUUCAGGGUACUUCUCACAACCUGGAGAAAAAUCAGCACACAAUGAAAAAGAGUCCAGCUCAGAAUAAUAGAAGCAACGUGUCUUUAACAAAGCCUACCUGAUGCUCAAGACCACUAUACUCUCCUCCAGUAAUUUCAUGAAUUGUCACAAGUUUAGUCACAAAAAUUCCACCGAGACAGCCCAACAAAGCCUCAACAACCCACGUACCCCACUUCUUCCACCUUCUCCAUCCACAUGCCAAUGCCAUACACCCUUGCGCCCCUGCUCGCUCAGCGCUGCCAGCGGCCAGCUCCUACCUCCUUCUCUAUCGUGUCCCUCCUUGGCCGCCGCCUCCUUCGCGACGCCGCCCCUGCUUGCUCCUCCUCCACGUCCGCUAGCCCCAGCCUUCUCCGUAUCCGCCAGCCCUAGCCUUCUCCUCCGCGGCCGCCAACCCCGGCCUCUUUCUCUACCGUCGCUAGUCCCAGCCUCCUCCGUUGCCGCCAGCACCGGGCCUUCUCCUCCAUGCCGAUGCUCCCGUCUCCGCCUCUGUAGCUGUUGCUGGACGACAUCCCCGCCUCUCUUGCCACUGCCGCCACCCCUUCCUAGCGCAUCUGCGCGUCGCCUUCCACUGUCGAUGUCCGGGCGCCACCUAGGGGUACCACCUACCCACUAGGCACCGCGGUAACCCCCCGCAUAGCGCAUAAGCGCGUCUAGGCGGCCGCGGAAUACCGCCUUCUUGAACAUUAACCACCUCAAAGGUAACUAAAAUGAACAAAACUACUUGGAUAGAAAAUUACCUUGUGGGAGCAAUUUUCUCGUGUUACCCCUCCUAAUCAGGUGCAAGAUGUGGGGGAUCCAGAGGGGGGAGGGGCUAAGCUCAGGCUCGGUUUGGUAGGAGAAGGGAAGAAGUGAGGGAGGAGGGAGAAGGGGGAGGCCACGGCCCAUAUCUAUAUAAGACUGAGUCACACCAAAGCAUGUGGCACGACUCCGCCUCAUCCACAAGUUCAAGUUCACAAAUCACUACUACCAGUUCGCAUCUCACAGUCACAUAUCAAUAUUUGCACAUGGAUCCUACUGCCGUGAUGUUCUCCCCGAGCGCCCCCUCCGCCGUGUGAGAUUGAGAAAGAGAGGGGGGAAUCUGACCUUGUUGGGCCCUAGGAGACGAACAUCCCGAAACAACAGCCCGCUGCACCAUCUCACCUCGAGCACUCGGGGCCCAAGCAUGACAGCAGGGGCACAAUACGGACUAUGAUGUGCUUGGGUUGUGACUAAAUUACGGGCCUCGUACCAUUUGGCACGGCCUAUCUGCAAUCUUUAUUCAGCAAAUUGGGUGCUCUUUUUGGAUGGUUUACUGGCUUUAAAUGAUCCGGUUUACUUGCGAAGUGUAGCCAAUUUGGGUUUUACGAUGACACUAACCAUAGCUAGCUCUUAUUUUCCAUGUUUGUCAACUCAUCAAAUAGAUAGUAUAAUUGUCGACUUCUCUAACAGUGACACUGCUCAAAACCAACGUGGGUUCCAAAACAAAGAAAGAUAAUUGGAGAAGAUAAAAUACUGCACCAUCAAAGAUUUUUUUUAUAAGUUACGCCAUCAAAGAUUGGAUGCGUGCUUCAUACUCUCUUAAAAGUCAGUUUCUCUUUCUCCUCUUCCUCUCUCCUCCUCUUCCUCUCUCCAUGUACUCUCUCCACAUAGGACAUCAACUCUUUCUCCUCUCCCUCUCUCCACGUAGGACAAUUGAUGUGCUUCAAACUCUCUUAAAAGUCAGUUUCUCUUUCUCCUCUCCCUCUCUCCGCAUACUCUCUCCACAUAGGACAAUUGAUGACACGUAGUAGCUAAGAGCUAGCUACAUGGACUUAUUGGAGAAGGCCUAAUAUCUCCACAGUUUCCUGCACAGCACAUCGUUCUGGGCAUAUCACAGCAUAUGUGCAGCUUUUCAUUCAUGUUUGGAUAACCAUCUAUGGUUCCAGUUAUGAUUUUUGUGCUGAUUAUGCCUAGAUUUGAUUUUAUUCUUGCUAACCUCGCAAAGCAUGCAUAAGGAAUUCCCAGACGCAAAUAUCUCCCACUAAAUGUGUACAAAAUGCUUAAAAUUGACUAGGUACUUGUGGAGGCAAUGCACUCCUGAUAUUGUUUGGAGCGCCAGCUGCCUACUGAUCCAUGCCCAGCAAACUUUGUCUGCAAAAAUCUAGCGGCACCUAUUACACUAACAAAAAGCACAUGUCCAUCAACCUUAGUCUCUCAAACUAAGGCGCACUAUCACUGAAAUAUGGAGUCAUCGAUUCACAAGUAGUGCAUUCUGAAGAUUCUGACAGCAACCGCUAGGGUUCAUCCAGCAACUUGCCUCUCAAAAGAUUCUGCCCUUCCACCUCCAUAUCUUAAAAGCACCGUCAUCCAUCAUGUUCCUCUCAGCAAUCUUGGCGUCUAGCUUCGAAUCAAAAUAGAUCCAGUCCUCAUCCAAUACAUGCACCAUGUCAACAUGAAACUGGCAGGAGCUAAUGAGCAACUCAUUGCUGAUGCUGUGUUCUCCAAUAGCCAUUAUGUUGAAAUCCUCACCAUUCCCAUGAUACACUUCAUCACACGGAUGCACAAUCUUUAUUCCAUAGUAUUCACAGUCAAAGCAGCGCACUUCCCUCGAAAACAAGAGUGGUUAAAAUGGGUUAUCAGCCAAGUAUAAAUGAAAUAGACAUGUAAAUAAAUAGAAGCAAGAUAACAUAUCAGUUUUUGUCAAAAUAAAACAGCAAGCCACUUUGUGUUUUGCAUAGUGCUAACAUAUUAUUGAAGUUUCCAUACAAAUAAGAUUACUAUCACUCAUCCAAAUUUUAGUUAGCUGAGCCUCAAGCAUUUAGAUUCAGAGUGGCAAGUUUGGGAAAAAAAAAUGAGAAUAUACAUUCUACCUGUGAGUUGUUAGAUAAGAGCAGAAGUUGUCGUUGGACUGGAACAGUUAUAAUCUAUCAUAGCUUAACUGAAAAAAGUCCAUUCUCAUUUCCGAAUGUUCCUUAUCAAAUAUCUAUCUGACACAUCAGCAAAGGAAUAUGACUUAUUAAGGGCAUUCAAGAUUAAUCAUUUCAACCAAAGAUUUGUUAUGAAUGUCCAGGCCCAGUUGAAUCAACACAUUCAGAUUCAGUGGAAUCGUACAAGACUGAUUUGGCAUCUUCCCCACAGGAAAAAAAAACAUAUUUUCAAGACCACCUGGCAAUGUGUUGAUGAGAGAUACAAAAUGUCAAAACUUACCGGAAUCAAUUGAAGCAGAAGAUAAAGAGAAACACAUUGAUUCCUCUUCCUCAUCAGCAUCAUUGCUACAUUCAGCAAAGAACAGUAUAGGAGUAGUGCUAGCAACAUUUGAUCCCUUGGGUAUUGCCCAAAAGUUGAUAUGUGACCUUGCACCUUCGCUUACAUUAGGAUUCACACCGCAAAUAAUAUGAAUUUCAAAGUGUCCCUGCAUAUAGCAGUUCAGUAGACAGAAUAAAUUGAUAAAAUUACAUUUAACCAAAUAAUAGUGAAAUUUACGAAACAAAAACAACAGAAAGGAAAUGCACUGACCCCGUUUUUCUUGGAAUAGUUGCUCAAUGCAGCAUUAACCUUGCUGGCAAAGAACUCUUGAUCAUCCUGAAACUUCUUUCUGAUGUCUGAUAUGAAUCUUUUCUGGUUCACAGAUAGGAUCUCUUCCUGGUCCAGUGGUGAAACCUGCACCUCAAACAAUGAUGACAGAGCCAUGCCGAGCUGCUCAACUUCACUAUUUGAGAGUGCACAAUCAUUCAACAAAAACGAUAACUCAACCGGUGCCAUUAGCAGGAGUGACAUGGUUAGCUUCAACAAUGCGUCAGGAUCAGGGUGCCAUGAGUUCAGCGCGGCAUUGCUAUAGGCUUCUUGGUACGCACCAGACAUAACAUGAUCAUGCUGUUCUGCCAUUGUGACAGCUGAAGCAGCAUCAAUAUUGCUCACAAGCAAGUACCAUAAAGCUUCGUGUUCUGUGAGUGUAUUGAAGAGGCCACGGAGAAAGGCAACCAGGCCAUAAAGAGAGCAGCACUCUAUGCGCCGAAGUGUCUUAGUGCAUAUCAUAGUGACCUCAAAAUCACAGUGAGUGGGGAAUGUAGCAGCAUACCAAAUUGUGUUGAGAAUGAUGUUGGAGACAGGAUCCAUUGGGCCAUAACAAUAACCAGCCCUGAGGAGGCUGCUGUGGUGACACUUGCGCAAGACACCUCCCGGUAGACGGGCAAGUGCUUCCAGGUAAUGUGCAUGAAUUUUGUCAAGGAGCAAGAGCUUCAAUGUUUGAGUGUAGCGGAAUGUUGCAGUCACUUCCUUCCUACUCUCAGUAUAUUCAGCAGAGGCCCCAGAUGACACCUCCUUCGCCUUUCUCUUCCUCCUCCCCCUCUUUGUAUAUUCAGAAGAGGCACCAGAUGGCAGCUGCUUCACCUUUCUCUUCUUCCUCAUUUCCACAUAUCCAGCACAGCCCCCUGAUGGCAGCUUCUCCUUCUUUCUCUUCGUCUUCUUCCUGGCAUCAUGAUACCGCGAACCAGCAAGCUGCAAAGGUUGCCAGUAACAGAGAUCUGUGAGCUCGAUGUUCCUGGGCUCUCGCUUUAGCAACUUGCUGAGGCGCUUCAAAUUUGCAGACGAGAUGGGGCGGCCCUUGUGCAGCACGGGCAGAAUCAUGGAGGCAUUGUCCAGCUGAGCUGCCAACAACUGCGACGCUCUCAGAAAGGUCGGUGGUUCAGGGUGCUUUGCAGAGACAGCAGCACAGCCAAGGGCUACCUUGGUGGUGAGGGAGAUGACACUGAACCCGGGUUUGCCUCUCUGUGGGUGGAUGCUGCUGUUACGGUCCAGCAAGAUGAGCCGCACGGCGGCAAGGAGGUCAGCACCGGCCAAGCGCAGGUAGCGCAGCGCUUCAGUCUCCGCGAGGUAGCGGAAGUAGAAAAUGAGGAAGCUUACAAGGCCUUCGAGCGACCGCCGGGCGACGGUCAUGCGUUCGGCUGUCUUUGCGGACAGCCGGAGGUGGAGGAAGUCGUCGGUAUCGCUGACGAUCCUGGACAAAACUGACUCCCUCGUGUGCGGUUGGGCCGCCUUCUCCUCGUCAUCAUCGUCGUCGGGAUUGGUGGGCGUCGGUGAAGGGGGGGAGUAUGAGAUGGCGUUGGCGAUGAUGUUGGAGACCGGAUCCAGCACGCCGAAGCACACGCCGGCGCUGAGAAGGCGCGGGGCCAGAGAGGGGAUCUCCUCCGUCGGCAGCUGGUCGAGCGCCGCCUUGUAGAAGUCGUAGAUCUGGUUGAGCAGCGCGCGUAUGUCCUUCUUCACGGCCUCCUCAGUCACUGGCACGGUGGCAGCGCCCUCGCCGAUUCGGCGGAGACGCUUGCGAUGGGACAUCUCUAUCUUCUCCAGCGACUAUGUAUUGCGGUCUAGUCGAGGCGUUCCUGGCGGGCAGCCGGGAUAGGUGGGCGGCGGCGGCGGCGGCUGAAACCCUACACAGCGGGGCUGCACGGCGGGUCCGGGUCGCGCGGCGUCGGGUGGCACGGGGGGAGACGGCGCCGGGUGGGGAACGGAUCCGACGGGCGGGGCCCGUGGGUCAGCGUGGAUACGUGCACCAUGUCAACAUGAAACUAGCAGUAGCUCCUCCUUCGCGUUCUUCCGCAUUAAUCUCCCAUCGACUAUGACGUAACGCUUGCUGCGGUGAAUAAGGCGCUCCAUCUCUAUCUUGUCGGUUGGCACCUCUGUGGUGGUGUGGUGGAAGUGCGCGUGAUUAGAAACUGAAUGAUAACACAGAGCGCAGAGACACGAGGUUUAGAUAACUUUGGGACGUCUAGACGACGUAAUACCCUAAGUCCUUUGUUCUGGUGAAUUGUAUUGAUGAGAUUCGAUGCUUGAGGGGGUUUCCUACCCGCCUUAUAUAGAUGGGGGGUAGGGUUACAGAUCGGUUAGAUCUAAACCUACUCGGUUAUAAGAUAAACUUUACAAAGGAAGCAAAAUCCCUUACGUUGCCGAACAAGUCUAUCUCUAUCUUGAAGAUAUCAUCUAGAAGUCUUGUAGUACGCGUCGACCAGUGCCGCGCACCACACGCCUUAAUCUUAUGGGCUGAACCACCCCUGACGAUGCGACCCAUGUACGAUCAUGUGGGUAUCUUGAAUUAUACCCCCACAGAGCCUAAGGAAGAACGUCAACUCUCCCUUCAUGGACAUCUCAAACUCUCUACUCAUGAUUUCUCCAAACUUGACGACAAGAAAAUGAGAAGAACCUCCAAAGAUAAUAUCAUCCACGUAAAUCUGAACUAACUAGGUGUCAUUGCCAUACUUGAGGAGAAACCACGUUCUAUCAACUGACCCUAUUGAAAAAUCAAAAUUAUUUUCAAGUAAGAAGAAUUUUAGUCUCAUAUACCAAGCUCGAGGAGCUUGCUUGGCUGAUGGGAGAAUGGUCCUGCAUGUGCCGGCAACAAUGUGUGCCGUGUAGCCUGCUUGUACUUCUGCGUUUGUAUGCUGUCGUGGGGUAGCCCUGGGUGCUCCAGGUCCUUUCCUGGACUGCGCUUGGGUGCUCCCAGUCCUUUCCUGGACUGCGCUCGGUUGGUUUUGUCGAUCGUACUCGUCUGGUAGCGUUCGUUCUAGCGGUCGUUGCAAACAUGUACUGGAACCUUUUGCUGUAAUUUCGUUGCUGAAAAGUAAUGAAAUUCAGGAGCGGUCCCUUGUUUGGAAAAAAAAAACAUACAAACCUAAUUUUUGAGUGGCAUCGUCGCAAUCUUACGAGUUACGACUAAACAACAUAUCCACUGGCACGAACGAAAAGUAAGGACAAUAACCAGAGGCCAAACAUGUACCAGCAAUCAUCUCCAGGAACGGUCGCUCGGGGAAAGCAAACACGACAGUCCUGCCAAUAAUACAUCCAGAAUAUUCACCAAGAGGCAUACUCCUACACAUCAAUGACCACGCUACCAUAAAUGUCAGGGUGAUGGUUUGGACGUUUGGUGGGCAUUCUGGAGUAUCAGUUCCCUUGUCAAGAAGAUGGUCGAAGAGUUGGCGGUGGUGAUCUCAUCAAAAGCCACAUCAGGCACCACGAUGGAGUACAGAUGUCCCAAAAAAGUAGAAACAAGGUAUUGGCAAACACCUACUGAAAUGAGUCCUAUCAACCGAAUGUUAAGCACGGAAACACUAGGUCACUUCUCUGUAUCUGAAGUUCUGACGCAUUCCCAUCAAGAGUUCAAGAGGAAAAGAGUAGGACAGCUAAACCAUCUGUCAUCAAAUGAAAAGAGAUCAGAACAAAAGAGUAAAGGACCGUGCAUUGACAAAUAUAUGAAUCCAAAAGCCCACGUUGGGCCAAACACAAUUAUAAAGCAUCUACAAAACGAAGAACCCACAUUCCAAGCAGAUGCAAAAUUUCCUCUAGGGUUUCAGAAUUAACAAAAAUAGGAGCACGAGGUCAUGAUCCAGUAUAGAAAAGAGAAGCUCAACUCAAGCACAUUAAUGCAUUCAGUAGCAACACGAGCAUUCAUGCUACUACAAAAUUAACAUAUGAAGAAUCUGAGGGUAUACCAAGCUAACAACAACAAAUGAACAAAUCGUGCAACCUGGAUGUAAUUGAGUAAAAGGCAAUAACCCACUAACAAUCACAGCAGACUGACAUGGAGUCACUAAUAUCACAGUAGACUGGCACUAAGCCACUAACAUUGCAGCAGACCAGUGCUACCAUACAUACAGACUACACACAACAAACAAGAUGGACUAAAUGGUAGAAGCAAAAGCAUUCAGAUCUGUAGCCUCGAGUCCCAAAUGAGAAAACUAAGUGAUAACUGAAAAUUUAAAACUAAUUCAUGAGAGAGAAAAUAAAUACAAUGUUUACGGAAUUUUAUCUACCUUCAGAAAUCAACUCGAAGUAAUAGAUGAAUCACCUGCAUCACCGAAAGUAAACAAGUGAGUACAAUAAUUAGAGCUUGCAUUGAUUCCUGACAUGCCUCUGUAAUUUAACAAUGUAUGUGGUCAAACAACACACUUAGGAGGUGGCAAUGUACAAUUAAGAUCACCUGUGCAAGAGAUGUACAUAAAGGCUUAAGAUCCCCUUAUGUAAAAUGCUUUUGAGUGUUCACACCUUAUAGUUUCUUUCCAAGAAUUCAUGCUUAAUUCUUUUUUAUGUGUAAUCCUGAACAUGGUUGACAAAAGGUUUUAUCUGCUUAUUAAGUUAAACUACUUACGGAAGUAGCACCUUAAUAGUUGAUUGGUG
rnacentral:lncRNA from 1 species